rnacentral:lncRNA from 1 species
UUUUUUUUUUGGUGAAAUUCCAAUUUCAAGCGAUUCCAAUUCCAUGAUCCAAUAUCAUCGCAUAGCCUAUACCAUGUCAAUGCUUUUCCUUUCAAAGAUAAAGGGAAAACCUUUUUCAACACCUCAUCUCGGGGUAGACCUGCAAGCUUAAACAAUCCACAAAUUUGUUCCACAUAUAUCAAGUGCAUAUCAGGAUGUUCUGUUCCAUCUCCUCCAUAAGGAUUAGCUAGCAGUUGUUCUAUCAUACCUGAAGGAAUUUCAUAUUCAAUAUUUUUAGUAGGUGUGGUAGGUUGAGGGGUAGCUAAUUGUGGUUCCGAACAAGGUGAAGAUACCCCGAACAAACCCCUCAAAGGAUUGUUUUCCAUAGUAACAAGUGACAAAAAAUUUCAGCACACUAUAUAAAUGUUUCCUUACCGAAUUCCACUUACCAAAGGCGCUUCACUCCCCGGCAACGGCGCCAGAAAAUAACCUUGAUGACCCACAAGUAUAGGGGAUCAGCUGUAGCUCUUUUUGAUAAGUAAGAGUAUCGAACCCAACGAGGAGCAGAAGGAAAUGACAAGUAGUUUUCAGUAAGGUAAUGUCUGCAAGUGCUGAAAUUCUAAGUAGCGUAGCAGUUUGAUAGCAAGAUAAUUUGUAACGAGCAAGUAACGAUAGUAGUAACAAAAGUGCAGCAAGAUAGCCCAGUAUUUUUAAGGCAAAGGACAGGCCAAAACGGUUUCUUAUGAUAAGCAAAGCGUUCUUGAGGGUACACGGGAAUUUCAUCUAGUCACUUAUCAUGUUGGUUUGAUUUGUGUUCGCUACUUUGAUUAUUUGAUAUGUGGGUGGACCGGUGCUUAGGUGCUGUUCUUACUUGAACAAACCUCCUACUUAUGAUUAACCCUCCCGCAGGCAUCCGCAACUACGAGAAAAGUAUUAAGAAUAAAUUCUAACCAUAGCAUUAAACUCUAGGAUCCGAUCGGUCCCUUACGGAACAGCGCAUAAACUGGGGUUUAAGUUUCUGUCACUCUCGCAACCCACCAUCUAAUUGCUACUCCACAAUGCAUUCCCUUAGGCCCAAAAUAUGGUGAAGUGUCAUCUAGUCGACAUUCACAUGACACCACUAAGGGAAUCACAACAUACAUACUAUCAAAAUAUCGAACACAUAUCAAAUUCACAUGAUUACUUGCAACAUGACUUCUCCCGUGACCUCAAGAACAAAAGUAACUACUCACAAAUGAUAAAUAUGCUCAUGAUCAGAGGAGUAUUAAAUAGCAUAAUGGAUCUGAACAUAUAAUCUUCCACCAAAUAAACCAUAUAGUAAUCAACUACAAGAUGUAAUCAACACUACUAGUCACCCACAAGCACCAAUCUAUAGUUCCGACAACAAGGUUGAAUACAAGAGACGAACUAGGGUUUGAGAUGAGAUGGUGUUGUUGAAGAUGUUGAUGGAGAUUGCCCUCCCCAAGAUGGGAGAGUUGUUGGUGAUGAUGAUGACGAUGAUUUCCCCCUCCGGGAGGGAACUUCCCCCGGCGGAAUCGCUCCGCCGGAGGGCAAAAGUUCUCCUGACCAAGUUCCGCCUCGAGACGGCGGCGCUCCGUCCCGAAAGCCUUCUCCUUUUUUAAGGUCAAAAUGACUUAUAUACCAGAAGAUGGGCACCGGAGGUGGGCCGAGGAGGGCACAACCCACCAGGGCACGCCCUCUGGUAGUUAUUUGCUCCAAUAUUUCUUAAAUAUUCCAUAAAAAUUCUUCGUGAAGUUUUGGCUCAUUCGGAGUUGUGCAGAAUAGGUAGCCUGACAUAGCCUUUUCAGGUCCAGAUUCCCAGCUGCUGGAAUUCUCCCUCUUGGUCUGUACCUUGCAAAUUAUGAGAGAAAAGGCAUUAUAAUUACUCCAAAAAGCAUUAUUAUGGAUAAAAACAUCAUAAAUAACAGUAAGAAAACAUGAUGCAAAAUGGACGUAUCAGAGACCCCGGCGCAUGCCCGGAGCUUUACACCACAAUGAUUGAGCUCCGAAGCACCUCCAACUACCAAGGGCGCCCAAGUACCCAAGAGGAACAAGCUCUAGGGUACCAAGCACCCAAGAGUAAUAAGCUUCUCAACUUGUAACUUCCACGUAUCGCCGUGGAGAACUCAAACAGAUGUACCGAAUGCAAUGGCAAGGGCACACGGAGUGCCCAAGUCCUUCUCUCUCAAAUCCCACCACAACAACUAAUGCUAUGGAGGAAAAUGAGAGGAAGAGCAAAGAAGAGAACACGAAGAACUCCAAGAUCUAGAUCCAAGGGGUUCCCCUCACAUAGAGGAGAAUGUGAUUGGUGGAAAUGUGGAUCUAGAUCUCCUCUCUCUUUUCCCUCAAGAACAAGCAAGAAUCAUUGGAGGGAUUGAGAGAUAGCAAGCUCAAAGAAGGUCAACAAUGGGGGAAGAACACGAGCUCAAGAGAUUAAAUGCAAUGGGGAAGAAGACCCCCUUUUAUAGGCCCUCCCAAAUCCAAUUGUUUUGCCUUCAGCCCGCACACAAGCGGUAGUACCGCUCGGGCGAGCGGUACUUCCGCUGGCCCGGUAGUUUCAGCCGUAACGUGCAACUCGGAAACUCAAGGAGGCGGUAGUGCCGCCGGAGCGGUACUACCACUAGGUGUUGCGUGUACACGUGAAACCAUGAUAGUAGAGUAGGACAGCGUGGUACUACCACCCACUACUGCCGCUCUACUUCCGCGCAGAGGAAAACCGAAUCCAGAAGCUAAAAACAAGCGGUAGUGCGCACGACACUGGACCGCGGAAGUACCGCACAAGCGGUACUACCGCUGUCCGGCGCGGUGAUACGUCUCCAACGUAUCUAUAACUUUUGAUUGUUCCAUGUUGUUAUACUAUCAAUCUUGGAUGUUUUAUAAUCAUUUUAUAGUCAUUUUAUAUCAUUUUUUGGUACUAACAUGUUGACAUAGUGCCAAGUGCCAGUUGCUGUUUUCUGCAUGUUUUUUACAUCGCAGGAAAUCAAUAUCAAACGGAGUCCAAAUGCCACGAAACUUUACAGAGAUUUUUUAUGGACCAGAAGACACGUAAUGGGCCCUGGCUGCGCCUGGGGGUGCUCCGAGGAGAGCACAACCCACCAGGGCGCGCCAGGAGGCCCAGGCGCGCCCUGGUGGGUUGUGCCCACCUCGGGUGCCCCCCGGACAGCCUCUUUGCUUUAUAAAUACCCCAAUAUUCCAGAAACCCUAGGGGAGUCGAUGAAAUAUUAAUCCAGCCGCCGCAGAGUCCAGAACCACCAGAUCCAAUCUAGACACCAUCUCGGAUGGGGUUCACCACCUCCAUUGGUGCCUCUCCGAUGAUGCGUGAGUAGUUCUUUGUAGACCUUCGGGUCCGUAGUUAGUAGCUAGAUGGCUUCCUCUCUCUCGCUGAAUUCUCAAUACAAUGGUCUCUUGGAGAUCCAUAUGAUGUAACGCUUUUGCGGUGUGUUUGUUGGGAUCUGAUGAACUUUGAGUUUAUGAUCAGUUAUAUCUUUUUAUAUCCAUGAAAGUAUUUGAGUUUCUUUGAUCUCUUUUAUGCACGAUUGCUUAUAGCCUCGUAUUUCUUCUCCGGUAUUUGGGUUUUGUUUGGCCAACUUGAUCUAUUUAUCUUGCAAUGAGAAGAGGUGCUUUGUAGUGGGUUCGAUCUUACGGUGCUUGAUCCCAGUGACAGAAGGGGAACCGACACGUAUGUAUCGUUGCUACUAAGGAUAAAAUGAUGGGGUCUAUCUCUACAUAGAUAGAUCUUGUCUACAUCAUGUCAUCGUUCUUAUUGCAUUACUCCGUUUUCCCAUGAACUUAAUACACUAGAUGCAUGUUGGAUAGCGGUCGAUGUGUGGAGUAAUAGUAGUAGAUGCAGGCAGGAGUCGGUCUACUAAUCUUGGACGUGAUGCCUAUAUAAUGAUCAUUGCCUGGAUAUCGUCAUGAUUAUUUGAAGUUCUAUCAAUUGCCCAACAGUAAUUUGUUCACCCACCGUUUGCUAUUUUCUCGACAGAAGCCACUAGUGAAACCUACGGCCCCCGGGUCUCUUCCUCAUAUAUUUGCCUUUGUGAUCUACUUUUCCUUUGCAUUUAUUUUCAGAUCUAUUAAACCAAAAAUAUAAAAAUACCUUGCUGCGUUUUCUUAUUUAUUUUAUUUGGCGUUCGAUCUAUCAAUCUACUACAAUUUCCUCACGUCCAUUUGCCCUUCUUGGGGCGCCGCUACCCAAAAGGGAUUGCCAACCCCUUUUACACGUCGGGUUGCGAAGAUUUGUUAUCUCUGUGUAGGGGCUGUUUACGUUGUGUUGCUUGGUUCUCCUACUGGUUCGAUAACCUUGGUUUCUUCACUGAGGGAAAUACCUAUCGUCGUUGUGCUGCAUCAUCCCUUCCUCUUUGGGGAAAUACCGACGUAGCUUCAAGCUGCAUCAGUCGGUACUACCUCUAGGGAGCAACAAAAUGGCCUAAGCAAAACAGAUGGAUGCAGGAAAGCCUAAACUGCCAUAACUUCUUCAAAUGAGCUCCGAAUUGAGCAAAUGAUAUAGAGAUGUGAAACCCCUAUCAAUGAAGAACCGGCAAAAACCCCAACAUCGAAAACAUCAUAGAAGAUGCAUAUGAACUCCGUUUUCGAUGAACUCGAGCUUCUCAUCAAGAUGACCAUAAGUUCCAAAUCUCACAAGGAGAAACACCAAACAAUAACCAAGAAAUAUGAUGCAAGGAUGCAAUGGUUUGUGCUCUCUACGAAUGAUACGAUCAAGCUACUCACUUGAGAGCCCCUUUGAUAGUACGGCCAUUGAUCCUAUAACCCGGUCUCCCAACUACCACCAUGAUACCGGUAAAAUAGAAAACCUAUCAAGGGAAAACCUUUUCCUUGCACAUAGUCCACUUGAGCUAGAUGAUGGCGAUCUUGAUUUCCUCAAGUUGGACCACCUUUCUUGAUUGUGUUGGCUUGAUGAAGACUAGUUGAUUGCUCCCCAUACUCCACUAUGGGUGAGCCAAUCUUUGGCACAUCUUCACAAGUCCAUUGUCACCACAAUGGACGGCAAGCUUCAAGCAUGAUCUCUUCGUGAUGCUUCACUUGAACUUGCACACGACAAUCUUGAUGACGAUCACCACUUGAUGUCAUCCUCCAUGGGUUAUAUGAGAUCUUCCUCUUGACUCAAGCCCAUGGAAACAUACCUAACCCCACAUAGAACUCUCACGUAGACCAUGGGUUAGUACACAAAGCGUAAUGGACAAUGCUUACCAUACCACGGGAUCACUUGAUCCCUCUCGGUACAUCUUCUACGCUUUGUGAGUUGAACAACUUGAUUCACUCUUUGACUUAGUCUUGAUCAACAAUGAACCAUGAUCAAUCUUUAUAUAAUUCCUUGAAUAGCACCUUGGUCAACACAUAAACUCCUUGAAACCAACAGAUGGACUUCAAGAAAUUCCCUAUGGACAAAUCCUUCAAUUAUAACUCAAGGCAACCAUUAGUCCAUAGAGUUUGUCAUCAAUUACCAAAACCAAACAUGGGGGCACCACAUGUUCUUUCAGUAUUCAAGGAGACAUUUGCGGUCCCAUUCAACGAUUAUCUGGACCUUUCAGGUACUUGAUGGUCUCAUUGACGCAUCUACAUGAUGGUCACAUGUGUGUCUUUUAUCCACAAGGAACCAUGCAUUUACCAAGAUAAUGAGGCAAGUCAUUAAGUGAUACGUCUCCAACGUAUCUAUAAUAUUUUAUUGUUCCAUGCUAUUAUAUUAUCUACUUUGGAUGUUUUAUAUGCAUUAAUAUGCUAUUUUAUAUCAAUUUUGGGACUAACCUAUUAACCUAGUGCCCAGUGCCAGUUUCUGUUUUUUCCCUUGUUUUUGUCAUUUACAGAAAAUCAAUAUCAAACGGAGUCCAAAUGGAAUAAAACUUUACGGUGAUUUUUCUUGGACCAGAAGACAUCCACGAAGCUUCAGGAAGAGGCUAGGAGACCCACGAGCCGGUCACAAGCCACAAGGGCGCGCCCUAGGGGGGCACGCUCCUAGGGAAUUGUGGGCCCCUCGUGGCUCUUCUAACCCUAACUCCAGCUCUAUAAAUACCCAAAUAUUACCCCUACGAUAGAGGGCACACCAAAUAUACUUUUCCACCACCGCAAGCUUCUGUCUUCGUGAGAUCCCAUCUUGGGACCUUUUCCGGUACUCCGCCGGAGUGGGAUUCGAUCACGGAGGGCAUCUACAUCAACCUUGCUGACCUACCGAUGAUGUGUGAGUAGUUUACCACAGACCUACGGGUCCAUAGCUAGUAGCUAGAUGUCUUCGUCUCUCUCUUUGAUCUUCAAUACAAUGUUCUCCUUAAUGUUCUUGGAGGUCUAUUCGAUGUAAUCUUAUUUUGCGGGGCAUUUGUUGAGAUCCGAUGAAUUGUGGAUUUAUGAUCAGAUUAUCUAUGAAUAUUAUUUGAGUCUUCUUUGAACUCUUUUAUGCAUGAUUAAGAUAGCUUUGUAUUUCUCUCCAUCUAUCGAUUUGGUUUGGCCAACUGAAAGUGCUAGUUAUCGACUAGAGGGGGGGUGAAUAGGCGAUUUUUUAUGGAAGUCUUCAAAACACGGGGGCUUUGAAGACAAACAGUAGAAAUGAACCUAUUGAUAUGCAGCGGAAGGUAGACUACACUAGACAAGCCAUAGUCAAGUAAGCAAUGAAGUGAGAGCACGAAGACUAUCAGCAGCUAGGUAGGAUGGAUCAGGAUGCAAGAUAGUAUGAAGCCAAACAAUAAACAGUCUUCACACAGUGAAGACUUACAGAUCAUGCAAGCAGGUAAUGACUUCACGAAGACAAACUAUAAGUAAAGGGAAGGGAAGGAUAGAACCAGUUGCUUGGUGAGGACAAGGAUUUGGUAGACCAGUUCCAGUUGCUGUGACAACUGUACGUCUGGUUAGGGACGCUGAGAUUUAACUCAGAAGACCGCGUCUUCACCUUAUUCCCCUUGAGCUAAGAACACUUAGUCCUCGCACAAUCACUCUGGUAAGUCUUAUAGGUAGACUUUCGAACCUUCACAGACUUCGUUCACUGGCAAUCCAUAAUGGCUCUUGGAUUCUCAGAACACAACGCCUAACCGGCUGGAGGAUUCACAGUCCUCAAGUGUAACAAGUCUUCAGAUCACGCGGACAGAAAGACUUCAAUGAUGCCUAACACUCUUUGGCUCUAGGUGUUUUGGGCUUUUUCCUCACAAGGAUCUCCCUCUCUCAAAUGCUUCGGAGGUGGGUUGCUCUCAAACGACAAAAGCCGUGCACUAACUCUGAGCAGCCACCAAUUUAUGGUGUAGGGGGCGGGCUAUUUAUAGCCAGGAGGCAACCCGACCUGAUUUGUCCGAAAUGACCCUGGGUCACUAAGGAACUGACACGUGUCCAAUGGUCAGAUUUCAAACACACGCGGCAGCUUGACUUGGGCUACAAGUAAAGUUGACUCAUCCAGCUCUGGAUAAGAUUUGCUCUCAUUGUCUUCGCUCGAAGACAUAGGAUUUGGUUGAGCAUCACAUCAGUCACUGUGACUUUGUUCACUUGGACCCCACUUAAUAGUACGGUGGUUCCUAUGACUCAACAAAGAAGAAAAGGAAACUACGAAACAACUAUGUCUUCGUAUUCCAUAGUCUUCAUGUGAAUGUCUUCUCAUGUCAUAAUCUUCACUGUGAAUUUCUUCACAGACCACCAUUGUCUUCAAUGUCUUCACACAUUUUAGGGGUCAUCUCUGGUAGAUAAACCGAAUCAAUAAGGGACUACUACCUGUGUUAUCCUGCAAUUCUCACAAACACAUUAGUCCCUCAACCAAGUUUGUCAUCAAUACUCCAAAACCAACUAGGGGUGGCACUAGAUGCACUUACAAUCUCCCCCUUUUUUGGUGAUUGGUGACAAACUGGUUGAAGUUUUCAACGGGGAUAAAAGUAUGUGAAAGUUAAGAAUUAAGGUAUUAUCUUCAUAAGUAGCAAAAGGCUCCCCCUGAAGAUGUGCAUAUAAGUAGUUUGCCUUUGAAUGCAAAUGCACAUGGCAGGUUUUACUUUGUGGAGAUCCUCUUCAACUUAUGAAGACAGUUCAUCGUGCAUAUAAACAUAUAAUGACGAUAAUGACAUGCACAAUGAAAAAUGGACGUCUGCAGAAUGUCUUCAUGCGGAAUUUAUCAUCGCAUCACAAGGUAGCAGAAAAAGUAGCAGACGACCAUCGAGUUUAAGUGUUACAACUCAAAGAACCAAAUGUUUCAAAAGACGAGAGUUUUAAAGACUUAGCAAAAAUAAUGCAACCACCCAUAUGGACCCGCUUGAAGACUAUCAACUCAUAAGCUUCUCCCCUUUUGUCAGUAAUGACCAAAAAGGUUUGAAGACAUAGAGUAUCUACUCGUUCCCAGUGGGAGUAGAUGAUGGAGCAGGGUCGAUGUUGGAAUUAGGUGGUGCAGACGGGCCUGACGCAGUGUCGAGAUGCAGGGCAGCCAUGGUCGGUGAAGUGGCGUCGUCUUCUUCAUCGACUACUCUCGCAACAACUGUUGCAGCCGAAGACGAAUGUUCAGAGUCUUCAAUAGACGGCGUGCGACGCCAGCUUGCAUUUUGUGUAGCCCUUGAAUCAAACUUGAAAUUCUCUGUGAAGCCAUCUUCGUGAAGAUCGUCUUCAGGACAGAGCAUUGUGAGACUCUUCCAGGACCGCCGACAUGCUUCAUGGGCAACAAACGAGUCCUUGGUGGCCAAGUUUCGAAUGCGAUUGACAUCCACCAAGAUACUCAGCAUCUGACGCUUCAGCCAGUCAUGAUGCUUAUCCUGCUUCUGAUGUAAUGCCACAAGAAGCUCUCGGUCAUUGAGUACACGAGAACGCUUCCGAGGCCUUUGGGCAACCGUACUUGCAGUGGCUUCGGUGUUGGCACGAUGUGGCACUCUCAUAUUUCCAGCCAGAGGAUAAGCGGGGGUUGCAGCAUUGGGGACAAGAAUUCCUUCGAUUGGUUGCGUGAAGCUUUGGUGUUCAGCAUUCUGAAGAUGUAGAGGCUUCUUGGCAGGUUCUGGGUAGAUGGCUUCAAUGGACAGAUCAACCUCAGGCAGAAAAACAAUGUGGUUGCGUGCUGAGGGCUGAUAGUCAAUAGUGGAGUGGAGCUUGAUCAGUCGCAUCACCCAUGGAGCAUAGAACUUUAGGCCAAAUAGAUCAAUCCCAGAAGCAGCUAGUUGUCUGAUGAAGAAAUCCUGGGUGUUGAAUAUGAUGCCAUUGAUGAUAUAAAAUACCAAAGUCUUCAUUGCUCCUUCAAGUUUAGCUUCAGAAGAGAUGUCCCUUGAUCGGCCAUAGAGUACGCCUCAAAAUGUGGUAUACUGUGCGUCGCAAGUACUCGAGGUCCUUUACAAAUAAUUCCUUUGGGUAUUCUGCAUCUUGAGGCAAUGGCUUCAUCAUACUAAGCAUCUGACUCAUGUUUGAUUUGGGGCUCUGAAAGAUACUCUGCAGUUCAUCUCUAUGACGCUGACAACCAAGCUCGUAUAACUCACCUGGAGUGGGCAGGGAAGUAAGCUCGAUAAUGUCUUGAGCUUUCGCUUCGUGAUGUACAUCACCUGACAUCCACUCAAGGAUCCAUGUCUUCGGAUCCCUGUUGUAGCCGCGAAUAUGAAGUGUGGCAUAGAACUGCAGCAGAAGCUCUUCAUUCUAGUGCUCUUUGUCUGCCACAAACGGCAGAAGACCAACAUCCCUAAAGCAGUCAAGAGCUUCUUCAAAACAGGGGAGCCCAGCUAUAGCUUCACAAUCUAGACGCAUGUGUGGAAAGAUCCGCUCUUGAUUGUACAGAAUGCAGGAGUAGUAGCUUCGCUGCUGAUGACUCCAAAAUCUAUCUGAAGAGAUCUUAGGCUUCGUGUAAGGAUUCUUGGCACUGUCAAAGAAAGUGUUGUGCUCUCUCAAGCUGAGCACGCUAAAAGAACCCUGUGUCGUUGGAGCACUUGGAAGCCUUGGUAGCAUAGGCUUGGGCUUAUGAACUUGAGGCCUCUGCUCCACAUGGUAAUCAUAUUGAGGUCCGAGAGUAGUGGGUGGAACCAUAACUGGCCAUCUGACUGUGACUAGCUGUCCUUCACGAUUGAAUGCUUGUUCAAUGGUGUGCGGCCUUGGAGGAGGAACAUCAUCACUAGAGCUGAUUGGUGGGACAAUGGUGUCAGUGGCAGCAUUGUCAUCAGGCUCCACAUUGUCUCCAGCCAUGACUGUGUCAUUGGCUUCAGUGGCGUUGUUGGUGGCAGCCUCAGUGUUUUCAACCUCCAUUUGUUCAAGGACAGGAGGGUCGGGCACAAACACAUUCUCCUUGAGAAUGACUUGAUCACUUGCUGGGGGUGUGUCAACUCUUUCUUCUUCUCUUUCUUCAUCGGCUGAUGCAGCCGGAAUGUCUUCGGCGACUUUGGCUUCAGACUCAGAGGCAUUCGCAGUAGGGGUGGCUUCAGGAAAUACUUGACGUGCGACUGAGCUUUGGUGCACUUCCCCUUAUGGAAUGCUCGACAUGGUGACCUGUGGCCUGGGGCCUUUGCGAAGCCUGCGAAAUACGGACAACGCCUUUGGUGAAGGAGUGGUCUGUACCAUGUAACUGUCAUUGUCAAGCACCGGAGUGGUGGCUUGAGGUGGUGGAGUUCUGGGUGUCUCAUCAUGUACUGGGGUGUCUAGCUUGCUAUUGGCGCUCGGCCCAUGAGUCAUCCUGAGCGAUUGGCGUCAAUGGACGACCAAUGCUGAUAAUUUCACUGCUUGUUGGAGCAGGCGAUGAUACCGACUGGGGCUCGAGCUCAGGAAGGACUACAUCAUCAUCAACAUUGUCUUCACGACCAAUGUCUUCAGCUGAGUUGAGGUCAGCAGCUGGAAUUUGUUCAUCUUCUGGAGCCUCUUUGGAAGCAGGCUCAUGGAUCACAAGACGACGCUCAUGGUUGGUUGAGGCAGGAAGGGCAACAGAAAUGGGUUCAACAAUGAGGGGCUCAGUGGCUGUAGCACGCUCUUUCUUUGAAGACUUUGUCUUCAAUUUCUUCUUGGAUGGGGCAUCAUCAGAAGUAUCCUUGUGCUUGUGUUUCCUGGCUUCGGCUUCAGCUGCCCUCGUUUUCUUCAGCUCUGAAGCUGCUGAGGUGACCUUAGGCUUCGAGCCAGUCAUACUGGUAGGGAAGACAAUGUGAGGUUCUUCCUGCCUUGGUGUUUCAGUUUGGGCCGCAGCAGGCUUCUUCUUUUGCUUGGCAGCCAUCCUGGGGUCGAUGCCAGGACGCCCAAGAGCUUUUCUCUUCUCAGCUUCAUUAUGUGCUUGAACACAUUUCUGCGCAAAGUACUUCAUGCAUUCCCGUGAGCCUUUUGCUUCUUCACGCUUCUUGUGGAAUUGUUCCUUAAGAUCAUGCAGCAUCUUCUUGAAGAUCUGCACAUCAGCCACACUGAGCUUGGCCAUAUUCUUCUUGAAAUGCGCCUUCUCAUAAUCAAUCUUGUUUUUGAGCUCGACGAUUUUCUGAGCCAAGGCCAACUCAUUAGCAAUGGCUCUGUGAAACGUGACGCUUAUGUCCACAGGCAGCUGAAGAUCAUCAAUACUGAUGCUCUGGUCACCAAACGACUCAUCGAUGAAGUUGUUCAGAAUAUCAACAUCAAAGAGGGGUAGAUCAUUGAAGAUUUCUGCCUCUUGCUUGCUCUUGAUCAGCAUCUCAAGUGCUUCAUCACCAAGAUCUUCAUCACUAGACAGAUCAAUGGUGUCUUCCUCGUUGCGCAGAACGGCAGCAGGAGUCAGUUCAUGCCCAGAGAUCUUCUUGGGCUUCUCCGUCUUCUUCGUCCUCUUGGAGACACGAGACAAGUCUUUAGACUGCACACUGGGUUCAGGAGGUGCAGUCUUCAAUGGCUUCACAGUCAAAGCUUUUGGUGCGGCAGAGGGCUUCAAAGCUUUUGAUUUCUUCUUCUUCUGCUUCGGUGGUGCUGGCGCAUCUUCAGAGUCUGCGUCAUCAGCGGAGUGAUCCACUGUAUCCCUCUGAGCAGCAAUGUGAGAGAGGAGCCCGUUGAAGCUGUUGAAGGGGCCGAUGACAUUGGGAUUAGCUUCACGUGCGCCAUCCAGCCUUGGAGAAGAUGGACCAGGGUUGAAGUUGAGUCCAAGAUCCCUCUUGCUCUUUGCAGCUGACUCUUUUGCAAACUGAUAAUUGCGCUUGAAAAGAUUGUCUUUGCGACACCAUAACAUGGAUGAUGGGUCGGCAUUCUCAAGCUUCGGUCCUCGGACCAUGCAUGGGUAGAAACCUUGGGCGAUAGCUUCAGGCUUCAAUUUUGGCUGCAGAUUCUUGUACAGAAUAUCGCCCCAUGGGCGCUUGAUGGCAUUCUUCUCAGCAUAUUCAGCAGUGACAAAGUUGUACUUGAACCACUGUUCUACCCAAUAUCUUCGAAUCCAUUGGAUUCGGGUCUUGCGCUGAUUGUAAUUUUCUUCAGGAUCAGUUUUGUACAUUUCAUACAGAUCCGGAGGCAGAUCUAGAGCUGUGUUGCCUCUGUGCUGCCUGCCACCUUUCCUAGCAGACUUUUCUGUGGCCAUGAUAUUCAAGCAGAUAGGCUUCAGAACAGCGAAAGGCUUCCGUCUACUGGUCAGACAAGAACUUGCUUCAGGGGAGUGAAUAUGAUGUUGUAAGAACUCUGCAAAUGAAUGCAGACUAUGAGAACCAAGGGAUUCUCCCACGGACAUGUACAUGUGACAGCAUUAGAGGUGCGAGGGAAGGGGAAGAGGUCAUAUGCAUUCUCAGAAGAUUUUGAAGAUAAAUCAGUUUGAAGACAUUAACCUCAUAAAGCGAAGACAUUCACUUAUUUGAAGAGAGUUGGUUCCAGAUUUGUACGAAUCCAUGAAUAAGUACAAGUGAGGAAUCUAACUAGUUAUGAAGAAUAAGUGAAUACCUUUAGCAUGAUAUGAGAUGCAGACAGAGACAGAUCCAGAUUUGAAAGUGUAGAAACCACUUUUGGUUGAAGUGGAUGGAUUUGACGGAUCAAAAAGACAGUAAAAAGUGAGAUUUAAUUACCGCUGACGAACUGCUGGACAAGGCAAAGUUAGAAGCCGAGAAGUUCAAUCUCCCGCGCCCUAACUUGGCGGCGGAAGACACCUACGGCGGCGGCGGAGAGGACGAGGUCCACGGCCGGCGUCGAAGAAAUCGCGGCAGCUAAGCGCUUCGUCUCCGGCGUCGACGCGAACUAGCGGAGGCGCUAGGGUUUGAGCGAGGUGGCGAGGUGGAAGAAGAGAUAAUGACCGCGGGGUGUGUGUAUUUAUAAGGAAAGGGACUGCACAACGUAAUUACGCAGGUGCCCCUGGCGGUUCACAUCUGAAGGACACGUGGCCUCCAUGCAACUUAUUGGAAGUUGUUCCAUGUUCCCACGCACGCCUGGAUUGUCGGGUGGUCGUCCCGGCUUCUCCGGUAUUCAGGCACAAGGGAUAUAGCAUUAAAACAGAUUUAAAUGUUUGUCUCUGUGUCUUCUUCUGACAAGGACUCAGUGAAGACAUUUGACAGGUUUCAACAGAAUGCAUAUAACUUGGAUAGAUAGAAUUUGAGGAAGAAGCACAGAAGGGGUUAGGGUCCGAUCACAUUCACUUAGAUCAGAAAAAUUCAGGUAUGAAGACAUAGCUAUAAGUGAAUGUUGUAGAGGACAGAACACGCAUAUAUAUAUAUAUAUAUAUAUAUAUAUAUAUAUAUAUAUAUAUAUCAGUCUAAGACCAACUCAACAUUGCGAAGAUAAACCAUGAGGUCAAAUCAAUGUUUGAAUACAAACCAAAUGCAAAGAUUAUGCAAUCAUGACGCCAAAUGAAACACUUCAAGAAGAUUUUGGUGGUGGCGUUACCCACCAUAUAGGAAGUAUUAGACCUAGACACGGCGCACAAUUAUCGUGGCGCUCCGAAGUCAAAUUCCGCGUUAAUGUAUUCACACUUAGAGUGUAUGUCUUCAUUGAUUGAAGAUAUACAUUACUUCGUGUGUUGCACAUCUAAGUCAUCAACAUGCAUAAGCGUUAGGAUGUGUGUCCAAUUACAGGACAUUUGAGGAUUCUAGGAUAUUUAGCUCACACCGCAACUUGCAAAACCUUUUCUCAUCCAAGGGCUUUGUGAAGAUAUCUGCCAAUUGCUCUUCAGUGUUGACGUGAAUGAUAUCAAUAUCUUCCUUCAUGACAUGAUCUCUGAGAAAGUGAUGAUGGAUCUGAAUGUGCUUUGUCUUCGAGUGCUGAACAGGGUUGUUGGCAAUCUUGAUGGCGCUUUCAUUAUCACAGUAGAGUGGAACUUGCUUCAGGUGGAUGCCAUAGUCCUUGAGAGUUUGCUUCAUCCAUAGAAGCUGAGCGCAGCAAGAUCCAGCAGCAAUGUAUUCAGAUUCAGAAGUGGAGAGGGAUACACAGUUCUGCUUCUUUGAAGACCAACAGACAAGCGAUCGUCCAAGAAAGUGACAUGUGCCUGAUGUGGACUUGCGAUCAACCUUGUCACCAGCAUAAUCAGCAUCUGAGAAUCCAACUAGAUCAAACUCUGAACCCUUGGGAUACCAUAAUCCUAGAGUUGGGGUGUAAGCCAAAUAUCGAAGAAUUCGCUUCACUGCUAGGUGAUGCGAUUCCUUUGAUGCCGCUUGGAAUCGGGCAUACAUGCAAACACUAAGCAUUAUAUCUGGCCUAGAUGCACAUAAAUAGAGUAAAGAGCCAAUCAUGGAGCGGUAUACCUUUUGAUCAAAUUCUUUACCAUUGUCGUCGGGGCCAAGAUGACUUUUGGUUGGCAUUGGCGUCGUGUAUCCUUUGCAGUCUUGCAUUCCAAACUUCUUCAAGCAAUCGUUGAGGUAUUUCUCUUGUGAUAUGAAGAUGCCGUUGCUCUGCUGACGGAUUUGAAGACCGAGGAAGAAUUUCAGCUCAACCAUCAUGGACAUCUGAUAUUGCUCUUGCAUCAUGUACCCAAACUCAUCACUGUAUCUAUUGUCAGUGCAGCCAAAGAUAAUGUCAUCCACGUAGAUUUGGCAUACAAACAGUUCACCGUCAUAUGUCUUCGUGAAGAGUGUGGGAUCCAGGGAACCAUGUUUGAAGCCUUUGCUCUUCAGGAAAUCUUUGAGCGUCUCAUACCGAGCGCGAGGGGCUUGUUUGAGGCCAUACAGUGCCUUGUUGAGCUUGUAUACCAUGUUAGGAUGCUUUGCGUCUUCAAAACCAGGUGGUUGUCCAGCAUACACUUCUUCUUCAAUUUGCCAUUGAGAAAGGCACUCUUUACAUCCAUUUGGUAAAGAAGGAUGUUGUGAUGGUUGGCAUAGGCUAGCAGUAUGUGAAUGGCUUCAAUCCUAGCCACCGGAGCAAAUGUUUCAUCGAAGUCAAUCCCUUCUACUUGAGUGUAACCUUGAGCAACGAGUCGAGCCUUGUUUCUGACGACUUGACCAUGCUCAUCUUGUUUGUUGCGAUAGAUCCAUUUGGUGCCUAUGAUGUUGUGCUUGCGAGGAUCAGGACGCUUUACUAGUUCCCAAACAUUGUUCAGCUCGAACUGUUGAAGCUCUUCUUGCAUAGCUUGAAUCCAUUCAGGUUCCAUGAAGGCUUCAUCAACUUUCUUGGGUUUAGAUAUAGAGACAAAUGCAAAGUGCCCACAGAAAUUUGCUAGUUGUGUUGCUCUUGAACGAGUGAGUGGACCAGGUGCAUUGAUGCUAUCGAUUAUCUUCUCAAUAUGUACUUCAUUUGCAACACGAGGAUGAACUAGACGAAGAUUUUGCUCUUGCUGAUCAUUGUCUUUGUUUUCAGCAUUGACUUCAGGCUGAGCAGUGUCUUCGGGUUGAUUAGGUGCAGAAAUGAUGAUUUCUUCUUCAGCCUGUGCCUCUGAAGGUAUGAUCUCUCCAGUACCCAUAAGCUUGAUAGAUUCACUUGGUGAGGCUUCAUCUAGCACAUUUUGCAUGUGCUCUCUUUGCGAGCUGUUAGUCUCAUCGAAUCAUACAUCCAUAGUUUCAACCACUUUAUAGUGAAAGAGGUUGAAGACUCUGUAGGAGUGUGAAUCCUUUCCGUAGCCAAGCAUAAAACCUUCAUUUGCUUUCGGUGCAAAAUUUGAAGUGUGAUGUGGAUCCUUGAUCCAGCACCUAGCACCAAAUACUCUGAAGUAACUGACGUUUGGCUUCUUACCAGUUAGGAGCUCAUAGGAUGUCUUCUUGAGAAGCUUGUGAAGAUAAACACGGUUGAUGACAUGGCAUGCAGUAUCAAUGGCUUCAGGCCAAAACUUUCUUGGUGUCUUUACUCAUCAAGCAUCGUCCGUGCCAUCUCAAUGAGGGUUCUGUUCUUGCGCUCCACGACGCCAUUCUGCUGAGGUGUGUAAGGAGCUACGAACUCAUGUGUGAUGCCCAAUGUAUCAAGAUAAGUGUUGAGGCUGGUGUUCUUGAAUUAUGUGCCGUUGUCACUUCUGAUAUGCUUGAUCUUGAUGCCACAGUUGGUCAUGGCACGAUUGGCGAAUCGCCUGAAGACAUCCUGCACUUCAUUCUUGUAGAGAAUUAUGUGCACCCAUGUAUAUCUAAAGUAAUCAUCAAUAAUGAUGAAACCAUAGAGACAAGCAGUGGUAGUGGGGGUAGCGUAGUGAGUAGGGCCAAAUAAUUCCAUGUGAAGCAGCUCGAAGGGACGAGUUGUCGUCAUGAUUGUUUUCGAGGGAUGCUUGGCCCUAGUCAUCUUUCCAGCUUCGCAGGCACCACAUAGAUGAUCCUUCUUGAACUUGACGCCCUCGAUGCCUACGACAUGCUUCUUCUUCGUGAGAGUGUACAAUUUCCUCAUGCCAGCAUGCCCUAGCCUUCGAUGCCAGAGCCAGCACUCUGAAGCUUUUGCUAGAAGACAUACGGCCAAUUGUGGUCCUGCUGAGAAAUCUACCAUAUAUAGAUCGUCUUUUCGAUACCCUUCAAAGACUAGAGAUUUGUCAAAUUCCAUAAGCACAAGGCAACGAUAUUUUCCAAAUAUCACAAUCAUGUUCGGAUCACAAAGCAUUGAGACAGACAUUAAGUUGAAACCAAGGGAUCCAACAAGCAUCACUUUAUCCAUGUGCUGAUCCUUUGAGAUUGCAACUCUACCUAGACCCAAUACCUUGCUUUUACCGGUGUCAGCAAAUGUGAUGUGACUCUUGUCAGAUGGACGUAGGGUUGAGUCCAUAAGAAGACUUCGAUCACCAGUCAUGUGGUUAGUGCAUCCACUGUCCAUAAUCCAUUCUGAAGCCUUUGGUGUCAUACCCUACAGUGCAGUUUGGGGGAUAGGCUUCACCAAGGGUAUUGUGAAGCAUAAACAUUUAACGAACAAGCGGAUUAUUAAAGUUCAGAUCUUUGUUAGGAUAAAUAGGAUGUUUGUCAAGGAAUCCUGGGACAAAAUACAUAGUAAGACCAUUUUGACAUUUUAUCUUGCGCCCCACAAGAUGUUUUAGGUCCCCAGCAUAAGCAUCAGAAGCCUUUGAUUUCCGGCUGGAGACCUUUCCCUGCAUAAGAGAGUUAUUUUUUCUUAACCACCCACAUCUUCAGGGGUGGCUUAGAAGCAAUGAGUCUAAGUGCAGCAUCUGAGAACUUCGGCUUUGGAGCCCUAGCAAAUAGCCUUGCAGGAGGUGAAUAAUACUCAUAAGAAUAAGCAGAAAAGUUCUUGGUCUUAUGAACAUAGCGGUUUGACGAAACACGCUCAUAUUCAUAAGUCUGGGUAUGGUUUCCCUGCAAAACAUUGGCGUUAGGGUGACUCUGGUGAGUCCUCUGUCUGUAUGAAGCCUUUGGACCAUAUGAAGCCUUUGGUCUGGGGUUUGUCUUCUUCCCAGGUGGUGUCAUGAUGACAUUCACAGGAAGUUUCUCAAGACAACUUUUGGGCACCCAGAUCUUCUUGAAAGGUGGUCCAUUCCUGCAGUUAGUACCAAUAUACCUGGCAAACACUUCACCAUUCUGAUUCUUAAACAGUUUAUAGUUUGCAUCAAAGGAUUCAUCAAUGAUAAUCGGGUUAGCACAAGUGAAGCCAGAUAAGGUAGACGGAUCCACUGAAGGUCCCUUUGCAGCAACCCAUGUUGUUUUGGGGUACUACUCAGGCAUCCAGUAGGAACCAUCAACAUUCAUUUUCCUCUUGAACUCAACACCCUCUUUCCUAGGGUUUCGGUUCAGAAUCUAUUUCUUGAGGACAUCACAUAGUGUCUGAUGCCCUUUGAGACUUUUGUACAUCCCUGUUUCAAGCAAUGUCUUCAACUUGGCAUUCUCAUCAGCAAUAGUGGUGGUAUCCUCAGCAGGGGGGUUAGUUACCACAUCACCAGUUGAAGAUAUUGCAACAGUGGCAGCAGUAGAGCAUUCAGCAACAGAGACAGCAUUAUCACGCUCAAGACAUUUUAGGCAUGGUGGAUCAAAACCUUCCUGAGCGGAACUGAUCUGUUGAGCGCAGAGUGACUCGUUCUCUUUUUGAAGAUCUUCAUGAGACGCUCUCAGGUUCUCAAGUUCUUGCUUCCUUUGAAGAUAAUCAUAGGAAAGCUUCUCAUGAGUAGCUGAGAGAGUUUCAUGACAACUUUCAAGUUCCUCGUACUUAACAUGAAGAUUUUUUAUGUCUUCAAUUAAGGACUGAGUUCGGGCCAUUUCCACGUCCAACAGGUCAUCGCUUUUGUCUAGCAACUUUUGAAUAUGUUCCAUAGCAGUUUGUUGUUCAGUUGCAAUUUUAGCAAGUGUUUUGUAGCUAGGUUUAGAUUCACAUUGAGAGUCAUCUUCACUUGAUGUUUGAAAGUAAGCAUCGCGUGAGUUUACCUUGGCACCACGUGCCAUGAAGCAGUAGGUGGGAGCAGAGUCAUCCUCAUCAUUAGCAUCAUCGUUGGUGACGAGGCCAUUGUCUUCAGUGUUGAAGAUGGACUUGGCGACAUAGGCUGAAGCUAGAGCCAGGCUUGCCACGCCUGAAUCGGAUUCCUCCUCAAAUUCCACCUUCGCCUCCUUAGAAGCAGACUCCUCCUCUGAAUCCAUCUCCUUGCCAAAAAAAUCCACGGGCCUUGCUGGAUGAGCUCUUCUUGUGAGAUGAAGACUUGGAUGAAGACUUUGAAGAAGACUUUCAGGAUUUCUUCUUCUUGUCAUCAGAAUCAUAUUCCUUGCUCUUCUUCUUCUUCUUGGUCUCAUUGUCCCACUGUGGACACUCAGAGAUGUAGUGACCAGGUUUCUUGCAUUUGUGACAUGUUCUCUUCUUGUGGCCACGAGAGGAAGCUUCAUCAUUUCUUGAGCUAGUCUUGAAGACUUUCUGAAGUCUUUCUUCUUGGUGAACUUCUGGAACUUCUUCACAAGCAUAGCAAACUCCUUUCCAAUGUCUUCAGGAUCCCCAGAACUACAGUCAGAUUCUUCUUCAGAUGAGGAAACAACCUUUGCCUUCAAAGCACGAGUUCGGCCAUAGUUGGGGCCAUAGAUGUCUCUUUUCUCAGAUAACUGGAACUCAUGUGUGUUGAGCCUCUCGAGUAUGUCAGACGGAUCGAGAUAUUUGAAGUCAGGACAUUCUUGAAUCAUAAAGGCCAUGGUGUCGAAUGAGCUGUCAAGUGAUCUCAGAAGCUUCUUGACGAUUUCGUGCUUGGUGAUCUCAGUGGCGCCAAGUGCGCGAAGCUCAUUUGUGAUAUCAGUGAGGCGAUCAAACGUGAGCUGGACAUUCUCAUUGUCGUUUCUCUUGAAGAGGUUGAAGAGGUUGCGAAGAACAUCAAUCCUUGAGUCUCUCUGAGUUGAGACGCCUUCGUUGACCUUGUAGAGCCAGUCCCAGACUAGCUUCACAGUUUCCAGUGCACUCACACGGCCAUACUGUCCUUUGGUCAGAUGACCACAGAUGAUGUUCUUGGCGGUCGAGUCCAGUUGAAUGAACCUCUUGGCAUCAGCAGCGGUGACACCUUCACCAGCCUUGGGAACGCCGUUCUUGACGACAUACCAGAGGUCAACGUCAAUGGCUUCAAGAUGCAUACGCAUCUUAUUCUUCCAGUAGGGGUAAUCAGUGCCAUCGAAGACAAGGCACACAGCGGAGACCUUGAUUAUCCCUGCAGUCGACAUAGCUUAAACUCCAGGUGGUUAAACCGAAUCACACAGAACAAGGGAGCACCUUGCUCUGAUACCAAUUGAAAGUGCUAGUUAUCGACUAGAGGGGGUGAAUAGGCGAUUUUUAUGAAAGUCUUCAAAACACGGGGGCUUUGAAGACAAACAGUAGAAAUGAACCUAUUGAUAUGCAGCGGAAGGUAGACUACACUAGACAAGCCAUAGUCAAGUAAGCAAUGAAGUGAGAGCACGAAGACUAUCAGGAGCUAGGUAGUAUGGAUCAGGAUGGAAGAUAGUAUGAAGCCAAACAACAAACAGUCUUCACAUAGUGAAGACAAUCAGAUCAUGCAAGCAGGCAAUGACUUCACGAAGACAAACUGUAAGUAAAGGGAAGGGAAGGAUGGAACUAGUUGCUUGGUGAGGACAAGGAUUUGGUAGACCAGUUCCAGUUGCUGUGACAAUUGUACGUCUGGUUAGGGAGGCUGAGAUUUAACUUAGAAGACCGUGUCUUCACCUUAUUCCCCUUGAGCUAAGAACACUUAGUCCUCGCCCAAUCACUCUGGUAAGUCUUCAAGGUAGACUUUCGAACCUUCACAGACUUCGUUCACUGGCAAUCCACAAUGGCUCUUGGAUGCUCAGAAUGCGACGCCUAACCGGCUGGAGGAUUCACAGUCCUCAAGUGUAACAAGUCUUCAUAUCACGCGGACAGAAAGACUUCAGUGAUGCCUAACACUCUUUGGCUCUAGGUGUUUUGGGCUUUGUCCUCGCAAGGAUCUCUCUCUCAAAUGCUUCGGAGGUGGGUUGCUCUCAAACGACAAAAGCCGUGCACUAACUUGAGCAGCCACCAAUUUAUGGUGUAGGGGUGGGCUAUUUAUAGCCAGGAGGCAACCCGACCUGAUUUGUCCGAAAAUGACCCUGGGUCACUAAGGAACUGACACGUGUCCAAUGGUCAGAUUUCAAACACACGUGGGAGCUUGACUGGGCUACAAGUAAAGCUGACUCAUCCAGCUCUAGAUAAGAUUUGCUCUCAUUGUCUUCGCUCGAAGACAUAGGAUUUGGUUGAGCAUCACAUCAGUCACUCUGACUUUGUUCACUUGGACCCCACUUAACAGUACAAUGGUUCCUAUGACUCAACAAAGAAGAAAAGGAAACUAUGAAACAACUAUGUCUUCGUAUUCCAUAGUCUUCAUGUGAAUGUCUUCUCAUGUCAUAAUCUUCACUGUGAAUAUCUUCACAGACCACCAUUGUCUUCAAUGUCUUCACACAUUUUUAGGGGUCAUCUCUGGUAGGUAAACCGAAUCAAUAAGGGACUACUACCUGUGUUAUCCUGCAAUUCUCACAAACACAUUAGUCCCUCAACCAAGUUUAUCGUCAAUACUCCAAAACCAACUAGGUGUGGCACUAGAUGCACUUACACCAACUAGAUUGGUUUUACUUGCAAUGGGAGAGGUGCUUUGUGAUGGGUUCAAUCUUGCGGUGUCCUCACCCAGUGACAGAAAGGGUAGCGAGGCACGUAUUGUAUUGUUGCCAUUAAGAAUAAAAAGAUGGGUUUUAUAUCAUAUUGCUUGAGUUUAUCCCUCUACAUCAUGUCAUCUUGCUUCGUUGCUCUGUUCUUAUGAACUUAAUACACUAGAUGCAAGCAGCAGUCGGUCGAUGUGUGCAGUAAUAGUAGUAGAUGCAGAAUCGUUUCAGUCUACUUGUCAUGGACGUGAUGCCUAUAUUCAUGAUCAUUGCCUUAGAUAUCGUCAUAACUUUGCGCUUUUCUAUCAAUUGCUCAACAGUAAUUUGUUUACCCAACGUAUGCUUUCUUCGAGAGAGAAGCCUCUAGUGAAACCUAUGGCCCCCGGGUCUAUUCCUUAUCAUAUAUUUUCAGAUCUAUAAAACCAAAAACCCAAAAAUACCUUGCUACAAUUUAUUUGUGUUUACUUUAUUUUAACUUUUAUUUAUAUUUUAAAUCUAUCUCUAUUAGAUCCUCUUGCUAGUGACCGUGAAGGGAUUGAAAACCCCAUUUUCACGUUGUGUGCAAGUGUUUGUUAGUUUGUGCAGGUGCAUCUAUUGGGUACUUGCUUGUGCCUUCUACUGGAUCGAUACCUUGGUUCUUAACUGAGGGAAAUACUUAUCUCUACUUUGCUGCAUCACCCUUUCCUCUUCAAGGGAAGAAUCAACGCAAGCUCGAGAAGUAGCACUAAGUUGAAAGCCCAUUAUCCAGAAAGUCGAAUUAAGUCAAUUGGAAUGGACAAUGCCGCAGAAUUCUCCUCACGUGCUUUCAAAGAUUAUUGCAUGACUUUGGGGAUUGAAGGUUAUCACUUUGUUUCAUAUGUCCAUAUGCAAAAUGGUUUGGCUGAAUCAUUGCUUAAGAGGAUCAAACUCAUUGCAAGACCAUUGUUGAUGAAUUGCAACUUGCCAACCUCUUGUUGGGGUCACGCCGUUUUACACGCUGCUGACUUGAUACAAUUGAGGCCAACUGCAUAUCACAGUACUCACCCUCUACAAUUGGUACGUGGAAAUCCUCCUAGUAUUUCCCAUCUACGUAAGUUCAGAUGUGUUGUAUACAUCCCGAUCUCACCACCACAACGGACAUCUAUGGGCCCACACAGGAAACAGGGGAUCUAUGUGGGGUACAAAUCGCGGUCGAUUAUCAAGUACCUGGAACCCCUUACUGGGAUCUGUUCACAAUCUGUCAUGUUGAUUGCAUAUUUAAUGAGGGGCAUUUUUCGGCAUUAGGGGGAGAUUUCAAGUACCAGAAAGAAUGUCCGGAACUUGAUUGGAAUGCUCAAGUCAUUUCAUCCUGUGAUCCAUGUACCCAAGAGACCGAACUCCAAGUUUGGAAAAUCAUUAAUUUGCAACGUCUUGCAAAUAAUCUGCCAGAUUCAUUUACUGGUCUAACAGGUGUUACAAAAUCCUUAAAUCCGGCCAGAAAUGCGCCUGAAAGAGUGGAGGUACCAAUAAAAACCAUUCAACUCCCUAUUCCUAAAAAGAGGGGGAGUAGUACGACCUCUGACCUGGAGCAUGCUUCUAGCAAGCAGCAAAGAAAAUCGAGGAGAAAAACCUCGGAGUCAGUAAAUGCAAGUCAACUCAACAUUGACAAACACCUGAUGGGUAGUAUACACCCAGUGGAAGGGCAACCUCCACAACCCAGCUUCAGUUUGCACACACUGGCUGGGACAUCGGAACACCCGGACUCAUGCAUAUUGGGAAAUCACGAAGAGUCACUAGGGGUGCAGGAAAUUUCCGUCAACUAUGUUGAUUCUGGAGAAUCAUUUGACCGUAAGACUAAGAGUGUCGACAUAUACUUUGCUGAAAAGAUUGCAGAUACCCUUCCCACUGAUCAUGAUCCAAGUACUAUCGUUUAGUGCCAAAAGCGCUCCGUGGCCGCUGUUGGGGAACGUAGCAAAAAUUCAAAAUUUUCUACGCAUCACCAAGAUCAAUCUAUGGAGUAAUCUAGCAACGAGGGGAAGGGGAGUGCAUCUACAUACCAUUGUAGAUCGCGAUGCGGAAGUGUUGCAAGAACGCGGAUGAAGGAGUCGUACUCGUAGCGAUUCAGAUCGCGGUUGAUUCCGAUCUAAGCACCGAAGAACGGUGCCUCCGCGUUCAACACACGUGCAGCCCGGUGACGUCUCCCACGCCUUGAUCCAGCAAGGAGGGAGGGAGAGGUUGGGGAAGACUCCAUCCAGCAGUAGCACGACGGCGUGGUGGUGGUGGAGGAGCGUGGCAAUCCCGCAGGGCUUCGCCAAGCACCGCGGGAGAGGAGGAGGAGGAAGAGGGGUAGGGCUGCGCCGAAAGAGAGACGUUCUCAUGUCUGUAUGGCAGCCCCAAACCUCAAGUAUAUAUAGGGGAGGGGGAGGGCUGCGCCCCCAUCUAGGGUUCCCCCCCCCCAAGGGGUGCGGCCAGCCCUAGAUGGGGCUUGGGGGGCGGCCAAAGGAGGGGAGAGAGGGGGCGCCCCACUAGAUGGGCCUUAGGCCCAUCUGAGACUAGGGUUUCCCCCCUUCCCCCUUUCCUGCGCCCUGGACCUCUUGUGGGGGGGCGCACCAGCCCACCGGGGGCUGGUCCCCUCCCACACUUGGCCCAUGCAGCCCUCUGGGGCUGGUGGCCCCACUUGGUGGACCCCCGGGACCCUCCCGGUGGUCCCGGUACAUUACCGAUAUCACCCGAAACUUUUCCGGUGACCAAAACAGGACUUCCCAUAUAUAAAUCUUUACCUCCAGACCAUUCCGAAACUCCUCGUGAUGUCCGGGAUCUCAUCCGGGACUCCGAACAACAUUCGGUAACCACGUACAUACUUUCCCUAUAACCCUAGCGUCACCGAACCUUAAGUGUGUAGACCCUACGGGUUCGGGAACCAUGCAGACAUGACCGAGACGUUCUCCGGUCAAUAACCAACAGCGGGAUCUGGAUACCCAUGUUGGCUCCCACAUGUUCCACGAUGAUCUCAUCGGAUGAACCAUGAUGUCGGGGAUUCAAUCAAUCCCGUAUACAAUUCCCUUUGUCUAUCGGUAUGUUACUUGCCCGAGAUUCGAUCGUCGGUAUCCCGAUACCUUGUUCAAUCUCGUUACCGGCAAGUCUCUUUACUCGUUCCGUAACUCACAUCAUCCCGUGAUCAACUCCUUGGUCACACUGUGCACAUUAUGAUGAUGUCCUACCGAGUGGGCCCAGAGAUACCUCUCCGUUUACACGGAGUGACAAAUCCCAGUCUCGAUUCGUGCCAACCCAAUAGACACUUUCGGAGAUACCUGUAGUGCACCUUUAUAGCCACCCAGUUACGUUGUGACGUUUGGUACACCCAAAGCAUUCCUACGGUAUCCGGGAGUUGCACAUCUCAUGGUCUAAGGAACUGAUACUUGACAUUAGAAAAUCUCUGAGCAAACGAACUACACGAUCUUGUGCUAGGCUUAGGAUUGGGUCUUGUCCAUCACAUCAUUCUCCUAAUGAUCUGAUCCCGUUAUCAACGACAUCCAAUGUCCAUGGUCAGGAAACCGCAACCAUCUAUUGAUCAACGAGCUAGUCAACUAGAGGCUUACUAGGGACAUGGUGUUGUCUAUGUAUCCACACAUGUAUCUGAGUUUCCUAUCAAUACAAUUCUAGCAUGGAUAAUAAACGAUUAUCAUGAACAAGGAAAUAUAAUAAUAACCUAUUUAUUAUUGCCUCUAGGGCAUAUUUCCAACAGUCUCCCACUUGCACUAGAGUCAAUAAUCUAGUCCACAUCACCAUGUGAUUAACACUCAUAGGUCACAUCACCAUGUGACCAACAUCCAAAGAGUUUUCAAGUACCUAGUUCACAUCACUAUGUGAUUAACAAUCUAGUUCACAUCACUAUGUGAUUAACACUCAAUGAGUUCUGGUUUGAUCAUGUUAUGCUUGUGAGAGAGGUUAUUAGUCAACGGGUCUGAACCUUUCAGAUCCGUGUGUGCUUUACGAAUAUCUAUGUCAUCUUGUGGAUGCUACCACGCGCUAUUUGGAGCCAUUUCAAAUAAUUGCUCUACUAUACGAAACCGGUUUACUACUCAGAGUCAUCCGGAUUAGUGUCAAAGUUCGCAUCGACGUAACCCUUUACGACGAACUCCCUUUCACCUCCAUAAUCGAGAAAAUUCCUUAGUCCACUAGGUACUAAGGAUAAGUUCGACCGCUGUCAUGUGAUCCUUUCCCGGAUCACUAUUGUACCCUCUUGACCAACUCAUGGCAAGGCACACUACAUGUGCGGUACGCAGCAUAGCAUACUGUAGAGCCUACGUCUGAAGCAUAGGGGAUGACCUUCGUCCUUUCUCUCUCUUCUGCUGUGGUCAGGUCUUGAGUCUUACUCAAUACUCACACCUUGUAACACAGCCAAGAACUCCUUCUUUGCUGAUCUAUUUUGGACUCUUUCAAAAUCAUGUCAAGGUGUGCGUUCUUUGAAAGUAUCAUUAGGCGUCUUGAUCUAUCUCUAUAGAUCUUGAUGCCCAAUAUGUAAGUAGCUUUAUCCAGGUCUUCCUUUGAAAAACUCCUUUCAAACAAUCCUUUAUGCUUUCCAGAAAUUCUACAUCAUUUCGGAUCAACAAUAUGUCAUUCACAUAUACUUAUCAGAAAUGUUGUAGCUCUCCCACUCACUUUAUUGUAAAUACAAGUUUCUAACAAACUUUGUAUAAACCCAAAAACUUUGAUCACUCCAUCAAAGCGUAUAUUCUGACUCCGAGAUGCUUGCUCUAGUCCAUGGAAGGAUCGCUGGAGCUAGCAUACCUUUUAGCAUCCUUAGGAUCGACAAAACCUUUCUGAUUGUAUCACAUACAACCUUUCCUUACGCAAACUGGUAAGGAAACUUGUUUUGACAUCCAUCUGCCAGAUUUCAUAAAUGCAGCUAAUUCUAACAUGAUUCCGACGGACUUAAGCAUCGCUACGGAUGAGAAAAUCUCAUCGUAGUCAACUCCUUGAACUUAUGGAAAUACUCUUUGCCACAAGUCAAGCUUCAUAGACGGUAACCUUACCGUCCACGUUCGUCUUCUUCUUAAAGAUCCAUUUAUCUCGGAUUUCAUGGCUUCUAACCAUUUGUCAGAAUAUGGGCCCACCAUCGCUUCUCCAUAGCUCAUAGGUUCAUCGUUGUCCAACAACAUGACUUCCAAGACAGGAUCACGUACUACUCUGAAGUAUUACGCAUCCUCGUCGUCCUACGAGGUUUGGUAGUGACUUGAUCCGAAGUUUCAUGAUCACUAUCAUAAGCUUCCACUUCAAUUGGUGUAGGUGCCACAGGAACAACUUCCUGUGCCCUGCUACACACUAGUUGAAGUGACGGUUCAAUAACCUUAUCAAGUCUCCACCAUCCUCCCACUCAAUUCUUUCGAGAGAAACUUUUCCUCGAGAAAGGACGUUUCUAGAAGCAAUUACUUUUGCUUCCAGAUCUGAAAUAGGAGGUACACCCAACUGUUUUGGGUAUUCUAUGAAGAUGUAUUUAUCCGCUUUGGGUUCGAGCUUAUCAGCCUGAAACUUUUUCACAUAAGCGUCGCAGCCCCAAACUUUUAAGAAACGACAACUUAGGUUUCUCUAAACGGUGUCGUCUCAACGGAAUUGCGUGGUGCCCCUUUUAAAGUGAAUGCGGUUGUCUCUAAUGCCUAACCCAUAAACGAUAGUGGUAAUUUGAUAAGAAACAUCAUGGUAUGCACUAUAUCCAAUAGGGUGCAGUUAUGAUGUUCGGACACACCAUCACACUAUGGUGUUCCAGGCGGUAUUAAUUGUGAAACACUUUCCACAAUGUCUUAAUUGUGUGCCAAACUCGUAACUCAGAUACUCAUCUCUAUGAUCAUAUCACAGACAUUUUAUCCUCUUGUCACGACGAUCUUCAACUUCACUCUGAAAUUACUUGAACCUUUCAAUAAUUCAGACUUGUGUUUUAUCAAGUAAAUACACUCAGCAUCUACUCAAAUCAUCUGUGAAGUAAGAACAUAACGAUAUCCACUGCAUGCCUCAGCAUUCAUUGGACUGCAUACAUCAAAAUGUAUUACUUCCAAUAAAUUGCUCUCUUGUUCCAUCUUACUGAAAACGAGGCCUUUCAGUCAUCUUGCCCAUGUGGUAUGAUUUGCAUGUCUCAAGUGAUUCAAAAUCAAGUGAGUACAAACGAUCCAUCUGCAUGGAGUUUCUUCAUGCAUAUAUACCAAUAGACAUGGUUCGCAUGUCUCAAUCUUUUCAAAAACGAGUGAGUCCAAAGAUCCAUCUACAUGGAGCUUCUUCAUGCGUUCUAUACCAAUAUGACUCAAAUGGCAGUGCCACAAGUGUGUGGAACUAUCAUUACUAUUUUAUAUCUUUUGGCACGAACAUGUGUAUCACUACGAUCGAGAUUCAUUUUAGGUGCAAGACCAUUGAAGGUAUUAUUCAAAUAAACAGAGUAACCAUUAUUCUCCUUAAAUGAAUAACCGUAUUGCGAUAAACAUAAUCCAAUCAUGCUCAACGCAAACACCAAAUCUCGAUGGUAGAGGGAGCACGCGAUGCUUGAUCACAUCAACCUUGGAAACACUUCCAACACAUAUCGUCAUCUCACCUUUAGCUAGUCUCCGUUUAUUCCGCAGCUUUUAUUUCGAGUUACUAACACUUAGCAACCGAACCGGUAUCUAAUACCCUGGUGCUGCUAGGAGUACUAGUAAAGUACACAUUCAUAUAAUGUAUAUCUAGUAUACUUCUGUCGACCUUGCCUGCCUUCUCAUCUACCAAAUAUCUAGGGUAGUACUGCUUCAGUGACCGUUCCUCUCAUUACAGAAGCACUUAGUCUCGGGUUUGGGUUCAACCUUGGGAUUCUUCACUAGAGCCGCAAACGACUUGCUGUUUCAUGAAGUAUCCCCUUUUGCCCUUGCCCUUCUUAAACUAGUGGUUUUACUAACCAUCAACAAUUGAUGCUCCUUCUUGAUUUCUACUCUCGCGGUGUCAAACAUCGCGAAUAGCUCAAGGAUCAUCAUAACUAUCCCUGAUAUGUUAUAGUUCAUCACGAAGCUCUACUAGCUUGGUGGCAGUGACUAUGGAGAACUAUCACUAUCUCAUCUGGAAGGUUAACUCCCACUUGAUUCAAGCGAUUUGUGGCACUCAGACAAUCUGAGCACAUGCUUAACGAUUGAGCUUUUCUCCCUUAGUCUGCAGGCUUAAGAAACUUGUCAGAGGUCUCAUACCUCUUGACGUGGGCACUAGUCUGAAAUCUCAAUUUCAGUCUUCGGAACAUCUCAUAUGUUCUGCGACGUUUCAAAAACCGUCUUUGGUGCCACAAUUCUAAACCGUUAGCAUUACGCACUGAACUAUCACGUAGUCAUCAAAACGUGUAUGUCAGAUGUUUCGCAACAUCUACAGACGAUGCUGAGGUUCAGCACACCGAGCGGUGCAUUAAGGACAUAAGCCUUCUGUGCAGCAAUGAGGACAAUCCUCAGUUUACGGACCCAGUCCGCAUAAUUGCUACUACCAACUUUCAACUAAAUUUUCUCUAGGAACAUAUCUUAAACAGUAGAACUAAAGCGCAAGAUAUGACAUAAUAUGCAAAGACUUUUUGACUAUGUUCAUGAUAAUGAAGUUCAUCUGAUUAUUGAACUCCCACUCAGAUAGACAUCCCUCUAGUCAUCUAAGUGAUACAUGAUCCGAGUCAAACUAGGCCGUGUCCGAUCAUCACGUGAGACGGACUAGUCAUCAUCGGUGAACAUCUCCAUGUUGAUCGUAUCUUCUAUACGACUCAUGCUCGACCUUUCGGUCUCUUGUGUUCCGAGGCCAUGUCUGUACAUGCUAGGCUCGUCAAGUCAACCUAAGUGUUUUGCAUGUGUUCCGAGGCCAUGUCUGUACAUGCUAGGCUCGUCAACACCCGUUGUAUUCGAACGUUAGAAUCUAUCACACCCGAUCAUCACGUGGUGCUUCGAAACAACGAACCUUCGCAACGGUGCACAGUUAGGGGGAACACUUUCUUGAAAUUAUUAUAAGGGAUCAUCUUACUUACUACCGUCGUUCUAAGCAAAUAAGAUGCAUAACAUGAUAAACAUCACAUGCAAUCAAAUAGUGACAUGAUAUGGCCAAUAUCAUUUUGCUCCUUUGAUCUCCAUCUUCGGGGCACCACGAUCAUCUUUGUCACCGGCAUGACACCAUGAUCUCCAUCAUCAUGAUCUCCAUCAUUGUGUCUUCAUGAAGUUGUCACGCCAACGAUUACUUCUACUUCUAUGGCUAACGCGCUUAGCAAUAAAGUAAAGUAAUUUACAUGGCGUUAUUCAAUGACACGCAGGUCAUACAAAAAAUAAAGACAACUCCUAUGGCUCCUGCCGGUUGUCAUACUCAUCGACAUGCAAGUCGUGAUUCCUAUUACAAGAAUAUGAUCAAUCUCAUACAUCACAUAUAUCAUUCAUCACAUCUUCUGGCCAUAUCACAUCACAUAACACAUGCUGCAAAAAUAAGUUAGACGUCCUCUAAUUGUUGUUGCAAGUUUUUACGUGGCUUGUAUAGGUUUCUAGCAAGAACGUUUCUUACCUACGUAAAACCACAACGUGAUAUGCCAAUUUCUAUUUACCCUUCAUAAGGACCCUUUUCAUCGAAUCCGUUCCGACUAAAGUGGGAGAGACAGACACCCGCUAGCCACCUUAUGCAACUAGUGCAUGUCAGUCGGUGGAACCUGUCUCACGUAAGCGUACGUGUAAGGUCGGUCCGGGCCGCUUCAUUCCACAAUGCCACCGAAACAAGAUAAGACUAGUAGCGGCAAGAAGAAUUCGCAACAUCUACGCCCACAACUACUUUGUGUUCUACUCGUGCAUAGAAACUACGCAUAGACCUAGCUCAUGAUGCCGCUGUUGGGGAACGUAGCAGAAAUUCAAAAUUUUCUACGCAUCACCAAGAUCAAUCUAUGGAGUAAUCUAGCAACGAGGGGAAGGGGAGUGCAUCUACAUACCAUUGUAGAUCGCGAUGCGGAAGCGUUGCAAGAACGCGGAUGAAGGAGUCGUACUCGUAGCGAUUCAGAUCGCGGUUGAUUCCGAUCUAAGCACCGAAGAACGGUGCCUCCGCGUUCAACACACGUGCAGCCCGGUGACGUCUCCCACGCCUUGAUCCAGCAAGGAGAGAGAGAGAGGUUGGGGAAGACUCCAUCCAGCAGCAGCACGACGGCGUGGUGGUGGUGGAGGAGCGUGGCAAUCCCGCAGGGCUUCGCCAAGCACCGCGGGAGAGGAGGAGGAGGAAGAGGGGUAGGGCUGCGCCGAAAGAGAGACGUUCUCAUGUCUGUAUGGCAGCCCCAAACCUCAAGUAUAUAUAGGGGAGGGGGAGGGCUGCGCCCCCAUCUAGGGUCCCCCCCCCAAGGGGUGCGGCCAGCCCUAGAUGGGGCUUGGGGGGCGGCCAAAGGAGGGGAGAGAGGGGGCGCCCCACUAGAUGGGCCUUAGGCCCAUCUGAGACUAGGGUUUCCCCCCUUCCCCCUUUCCUGCGCCCUGGACCUCUUGUGGGGGGCGCACCAGCCCACCUGGGGCUGGUCCCCUCCCACACUUGGCCCAUGCAGCCCUCUGGGGCUGGUGGCCCCACUUGGUGGACCCCCGGGACCCUCCCGGUGGUCCCGGUACAUUACCGAUAUCACCCGAAACUUUUCCGGUGACCAAAACAGGACUUCCCAUAUAUAAAUCUUUACCUCCGGACCAUUCCGGAACUCCUCGUGACGUCCGGGAUCUCAUCCGGGACUCCGAACAACAUUCGGUAACCACGUACAUACUUUCCCUAUAACCCUAGCGUCACCGAACCUUAAGUGUGUAGACCCUACGGGUUCGGGAACCAUGCAGACAUGACCGAGACGUUCUCCGGUCAAUAACCAACAGCGGGAUCUGGAUACCCAUGUUGGCUCCCACAUGUUCCACGAUGAUCUCAUCGGAUGAACCACGAUGUCGGGGAUUCAAUCAAUCCCGUAUACAAUUCCCUUUGUCUAUCGGUAUGUUACUUGCCCGAGAUUCGAUCGUCGGUAUCCCGAUACCUUGUUCAAUCUCGUUACCGGCAAGUCUCUUUACUCGUUCCGUAACUCACAUCAUCCCGUGAUCAACUCCUUGGUCACACUGUGCACAUUAUGAUGAUGUCCUACCGAGUGGGCCCAGAGAUACCUCUCCGUUUACACGGAGUGACAAAUCCCAGUCUCGAUUCGUGCCAACCCAACAGACACUUUCGGAGAUACCUGUAGUGCACCUUUAUAGCCACCUAGUUAUGUUGUGACGUUUGGUACACCCAAAGCAUUCCUACGGUAUCCGGGAGUUGCACAAUCUCAUGGUCUAAGGAACUGAUACUUGACAUUAGAAAAGCUCUGAGCAAACGAACUACACGAUCUUGUGCUAGGCUUAGGAUUGGGUCUUGUCCAUCACAUCAUUCUCCUAAUGAUCUGAUCCCGUUAUCAACGACAUCCAAUGUCCAUGGUCAGGAAACCGCAACCAUCUAUUGAUCAACGAGCUAGUCAACUAGAGGCUUACUAGGGACAUGGUGUUGUCUAUGUAUCCACACAUGUAUCUGAGUUUCCUAUCAAUACAAUUCUAGCAUGGAUAAUAAACGAUUAUCAUGAACAAGGAAAUAUAAUAAUAACCUAUUUAUUAUUGCCUCUAGGGCAUAUUUCCAACAGCCGCGACGAGGGAGGCGUCGUCGUCCUCGAGGACAGCGACGACGAGGCACCGUCGCCGGCCAAACCAGUCCGCCAGGGCGAGCCCGGGCAGGGGUCCAGCAGGGACGGCCGUGUGGAGAAGGAGAAGGAGGACGACGGCGACUACACCGCCUUCAGCAAGUUCUUCGACAUGUAGGCGGCGCGGCAGCAGGCCUUUGUUUUUUAGUAGAUUUUAUGUUUUCUAUAUGUAAAAAACUGUGGAACACCUAAAUAUCGCCGAAUCUAUGUCGUGUUUGCCGAAUUUUGCCCGAAUGUCUUUUUAAAAUUAUUUACCAAAAGGGCGUCUGGGGGCGACCUGGGGGCGGCGGCUGGGAAUCCGAUCACCCCCACACCGAAAAUAUCGCCGGUUCGCCCCCAAGCGGCGAUUUUUUCUAGCCCCUGGGGGGCGAACAGCUGGAGAUGCUCUUAAAUCAUGCGAAAAUCUUGCUGAUUUGUUUAUCAAGUCUCUACCAAAUUCUACAUUACAAAAAUAUGUUCAUGGAAUUGGUAUGCGACGACUUCGAGACUUGCAAGUAUUAGGGGGAGUCUCUUCUUGAGAUAUCCUUGUUCAAACAUCACAUUACGUUGUUUCUCUUUGUGAGUUUGUGUUUCAGGUGCUCAUCAAAGAUUUUUAUGAAGAACUUUUGGACAAGAAUCUUUUUGAGAUAAUAGAGCUAUCUGGACAAUCGUGAGAUGAUUCUACAUGGUCAAGCGUAGAUUAGGGGGAGGGGUGUUAAGAUUAAUUGUAAUUAGGGAAAAUCUCCCCUUGCCCAACUGUCGUUGCGCUUUCUCCCGCAACGAACGCCUCCCCCUCUUGUAUCCCUGGAACCGACGUCCCCUCGAUGGAUCAUCGCGUCUCUCCCUGAUGGCUUUCUCUCACAAUAAUCAUGCAAAAAAACAUUACAUCAUUUACAACAUGAUGUAAAGUUACGGUCGUCAACCGAUGGAGAAGAGCUACAACUUUGCAUUAGUGUGUGAUUCGGCUUUGAAAUAUGACGAUUUGACUUUGAAACAUGGCAAUUCGGCUUUGCAUGAAUGACAUCUAGCCUUAUAGUGUCCUUGCAGUGUCCCAUCUCAACUUAUAGUGGAGGCGCCCAACAUUGCAACAACUACCUGACUUGCAACAACGCCACCUAGCCUUUGUAGCGGCACGGGUCCUUGCUUGCAACAUCAGUGGCACCUCGAGCUUGCAAUGGCUCCAACCAGACUUCACAACGAUGCGGUACCCGUCUGUGGCGGCGGUAGCCGGUAUUGAAGCACCGGCCAGCUUUGUAGUGGCGUGCUCCCCUACACGCAACACGUGCAAAAAAAUGUUUCUAGCAUGGUGAAACAUUUCCACAUACACUUCACGGGUAUGUGAUCGUAUUUUGGAAAGGAAACAUUUUUUGUCAAUCACAUUCAACAUGAAAAUUAUGUGUAUACAACAAAUUCUCUAGUGGCAAUAAAAUGUUCACAACGCAUGUAACAUGAAAAAUUAACACAAGCAACAUAAAACAAUUAAUAUGGAACAUGUAUGCAUUCCCGAAAAAACUUCACAACACAUGUCAUGCUUACACAAUAAACAAGAAAACAUGCUCUGCCCAUGUGUGUUCGACUUGUAGCGGCAAAGGAAACCGCCCUUACAAGGUCACAUGCCAUGUUUGCAGCGUGACAGGCUGCCUUUGGAACACAAAAGAACAGCGCGACAUGCUCGCAACAUCGACACACUUCAUCAGCAACAUCGGCACAAUUUGGGUGGUGAUAUGGUAGGAUGGUCAACAAGUCAAGUACUCCCUCCGUUCCAAAAUAGACGACUCAACUUUGUACUAAUUUUAGUACAAAGUUAGUAUAAAGUUAGGUCAUCUAUUUUGGAACGGAGGGAGUAGAUGCCAGUUACAACCAACAAAAACAAAUACAAUCUCCACCAACAAGUCAAGUAGAUGCCAAUAAUCAAGACAUCUACAACUUAUUAAUUUAAAGUUUUAAAUGUACAAUGCAAAAAAACCAUACAAACAAAACUGUAUCAUUCUCCCUUACUGAUGAAAGAACUAUAUACGAAGCAAAAUGAGUGAAUCUACAUUUUAAAAUUUGUCUAUAUCCGUAUAUAGUUUAUAGUGGAAUAAGACUUACAUUUAAGAACGGAGGGAGUACUAAUUAAGAGGACUCAGAAUAUGGGUGGUGAUAUAGCAGGAUGGUCGGCAAGGCAAAUAAAUGCCAGUUACGACGAACAAGACCAAAUAUCCAUCUUCACCGUCCUCUACAAUAAAUUCAGACAUGAGGUUGCAAAACAUAACAAGCAAAAUAACACACAAAUUGUUUGAUUCUCCCGAGAAAGGGAAGGUUGUACGGUCGUCAGAUAGGAGCAAGAUCAUUGGCCUCAUAGAGAAGAUUAGAUCGUUCCACAUGAAGAAAAUUCAGACAUAUCCUUGUCUAUAAUUUNNNNNNNNNNNNNNNNNNNNNNNNNNNNNNNNNNNNNNNNNNNNNNNNNNNNNNNNNNNNNNNNNNNNNNNNNNNNNNNNNNNNNNNNNNNNNNNNNNNNNNNNNNNNNNNNNNNNNNNNNNNNNNNNNNNNNNNNNNNNNNNNNNNNNNNNNNNNNNNNNNNNNNNNNNNNNNNNNNNNNNNNNNNNNNNNNNNNNNNNNNNNNNNNNNNNNNNNNNNNNNNNNNNNNNNNNNNNNNNNNNNNNNNNNNNNNNNNNNNNNNNNNNNNNNNNACUCGGAAUAUGGGUGGUGAUAUAACAGAUGGUCGGCAGGCAAGAAGAUGCCAGUUACGACGAACGAGACAAAAUAUCAAUAGUCGCCAUACUAAACCCCGAUGCAAAAUCCCCCAAGAACAACCAAAAAGACAGGUUGACAACAAGCACACAGAAUUGCAGCUUGCUCCAGACACAAAAUCCUGCAGUUUCUAGUGAAAGCAAGCAUGCUUUAUACGCUGGAAUGAGGCAGUCUCAGCUACAAGCUUGCAGAAUCUCACGACAAAAAUGGUGAUAAGAGAUGUAGGAAGGUUGGUAAGCGGGUUGCCCAUUAACAUGGGCAGGCCGACCAGAUUUCCUUCCUUGGUAGUUUGACACAGCCGAAUCUGGCAAAGCAAGACGAUGGUACAAAGAACCCAGGCCUUGGUACAAUGCAGCCCUGAUGCUCAUGCUUUAAUAGAUGAACAAAUGGUUCUGAAAUGCAAUGGUGAGCAGUCAGACAAUGCUUUCUAGGCAAAUGCAUCUCCAUCAGAACACAGCAAUGUUUGCUGCUCGGAGCCCAGUGCAUAUCUUCUUCCAUACCACACAACCAAGCUAUAACUCAAAAAAGAAAGGGAAGAGUUGCGAUGGAAUCUGUAGCCCUCAAUUUUUUUUGGAUCGUGCGCUGUCCAAAAAAUUAUUAACAUAUUUUAAAGAAUGCAAGACGGUUCAACUAGUAGACACUAAAAAGCUGUUCAAUUUGGCUUCAGAAUUGCAGAAAGACAGCAUGGACACAUAGCAACCGAUCAGUCCCAAAAGAUGGUAUGAUUAAUAGGUUUUUCAUCACUGGCCAAGCAUGAACAAAUAUGCCUCUAAAAUUUCAGCAUACAUCAAAUCUGAACUAACACAACACGCUAGUCCUGCACGCAGAGCUCAAAAGAUGCAAAUCUGAAGGCAUUGAAUAAGCUUCCAGGCAUCAUAUAGUUUCCUAAAUUUUCAUCAAAAGAAAAGCGUGAUACCAAAGGCAUAAAAACAACAAUGAGAUGCAUUUGAAAUGAGAGGAAAAUGAUUGUUGGCGAAAGAGAUUAUCAAGCUCAACCCAACUGCCCAUUUUCCUCAAAUUAAUAUAGCAGGAAACACUUUCAGUAAGAAAUGCACAUCAAAAGGCAUUUAACCGAUACACACUUAUCCUGCAAAGGCAACAAGCGAGAAAAAAGUGAAACCACUUUGUAUGCAAAGCAGAUGGAUUCAGAAGCACUCAUCCCAUAUGAAGGAUAAUGAGAGGAAAAUGAUUGUUGGCAAAAGAGAUUAUCAAGCUCAACACAGCAAAAGGCAUUUAACUGAUACACACUUAGCCGACAAAGGCAACAAGGGAGAAAAAAGUGAAACAAAUUCGUAUGCAAUGCAGAUAGAUUCAGAAGCAUUCAUCCCAUAUGAAGAACAGAAAAAGGCAAGCAUAUUCUUAUGCUGUCAUGGAAACAUACAACAAUGGCGCAAAAAUACACAGAAGUGUCAGAUUAGAUGAGAGGAAAGUGAUUGUUGAAGAAAGCAUAUAAAGGCCUAAACAAGCUGUUCACUUUCCCCCCAUUGGUAUAGGAUGGAAAACUAUCAGCAGUACAUAAAAAGUGUUCCUGGAAAUUGCAGCAAGCUUAGCCAUUGCCACAGAGCAUGGAAAUUGCAAGACAACUCGGGGUAAUCUGAAGUUACUAUGUGCCACAAGGUUUUCAUGAUGCAUUUGGUGGCAAGGCAUAAAAAACAGAUGUGCAUACACAAUGGCUAAAACAUACACAGCAGAUCAACCACAUAGAACCAAUAUUCAACUACCAGCAUAGUCAUUAAUCCAAAACAGUAGGUGCUAAGCUUAGCACAUCUAAGAACGAAAUUUAAGAGUAACAAGUUUUCUCAUGGACCAAAAUAAGACCACUGUAUCAAGACAAGGCAGUUCAACUCUUUAAUCCACAAAAACAGAUCAUAAAACAGAAAAGAAACAUUAUCUAGAUAAAGCAAGAUGGCCCAUUAUACCCUUCAAGCAGCAGCAGCGUCUGCACUCUUCUCACCGUCACCACCCUGAGUAGUUGCUUUAUUAGCCUCUGCCUCGGCAGCAGCAUCCAUCUCCUGUGCAGUAGCAUCAACAUCAUCUGUAGCCGGACGAAUCUGCUCCUCCUCUGGAAGUGGCUCUUCAACAUAAUCGUUCUCAAAUGCAUCAUUAGGAACCUGAUAGAUCCUCAUCUGUGGCUUUGCAGGAUCUUUCACAAGCACAUACUUGCCCUCUUCAAACUUCAUGCAUAUGUCCACAAUCGACUUGACAAUUCCCCACAUGUUUGCAGUGUUGAGGUUGAUCUGGGUAGCAAAAUCCCUUGGCUUGUAGCCCAUCACAGUGAGUAUGGAGUGGUUGAAGUGGUCGCGGGGGUGCACACGUGACACAUAACCCAACUUCAUCAUGUCUGCGCCAGAAAGUAAAGCCUGGGCAGUCCAGCGAGCGAGCUUGUUGGCAUUGUUCUUGAGCUCUGUAGCAAGCACAGCUCCGCGCUGGGACUCGAGCUUCUGCUUCCAGUCAACACCAGUAAUCUUAGGAUCAAACUCAUUGAGUGCAUUAAGAGUGAGGAACUGGCGAGCACCACUCGGAUCAACACCGGCAGCAUGCACUUCACAGCGAGCAAUGAUGCUAAUAUCAUCGUCCAGCUUCCAGCGGCGAUAACGGUAGCAAACAGGCGCCGCCUCCUCAUUCUCAGAAGCAAACGGGUUAGGCUCAUCAAAGGUAACCUUCUCGCCAUCACGUACCAGCACCUGCUGCGAGAAGUUCUGGUUGAUGUAGGUGGCCUCGACAGCAAGAGCCGGCGCGGAAUUGAUGUCAUCCUUGUUCUCAGGGAGCUGCUCCUGCGCAGUCUCGUUGACAGUGAGCAGAUCGAGCUGGGAGCCCUCGCGCUUGUCGAAGAAGAGCUUGUUGCCGACGCGCUGCACGACAAUGUCCCAGGAGAGGAUGCUGCGGGGUGUGCACAUGAGGGCGGCGAGGAUGGCGUCGGUGGCGAAGACGGUGGCCUUGUCCUCCUCGGCGAGGCGGCGGAUGAUGGGGUCGUCGGUGGUGGUGAUCUUGAAGAACUGGCGGUUCUUGAAGCGCUCGAGGCGGCGGGCCGUCUUGGGGUUGACGCGGUCGUAGGCGCGGUCGUACGAGUCGACGGCGCCGCAGACGAGGAGGUCCUCGGGCUGGUCGUUGACGGCGAAGGAGAGCUUGGUGAAGUUGGCGAAGGGGAUCUGCUCGAGGAUGGUCCAGUCGGGCUGGAUGUCGACCGAGGGCUUGGCGGUGUUCUGCUGGUUGCCGCGGAAGCCCUGGUGGUGGUGGGAGCGGUGGUUCUGGUAGUGGCGCUCGCGGCGGGCGCGCUCCUUCUCGGCCUCGCGGCGCUUGGCCUCGACCUCCUCGUCGCGGCGCUGGGGGAGCUGGGGCCGCUGGUUGAAGCGCCACUUGGGCCCGAAGCGCGGGUGCUUGGGCGGCGGCUUGGCGUCCACGAGGCUGAAGGACGAGUCCUCGGCGGCGGCGGCGAGCGAGUCGUCGGCCGAGGAGAAGUCGAAGACCGAGUCGCGGGAGGCGGCGGCCGCGUGGUGGCCGUGCGCGCCCGGGUGGCCCGGGUUGCGCGUCCAGUCGGCGAUGCGGCCCAGCUUGUCGGAGCGGGAGAAGGGCGCGAAGGGGAUGGAGGCCGUCGCGACGGCCCCGCCCAGCAGCGGCGCCGCGCCCGGGGCGUCGGGAGGGCCCCAGCCGUCCGGGUUGAAGGGGACGACGCCCACGUCGAAGCCCAUGGUCGCGGCGGCGGCGGCGGUGCGGGUGGAUCCGGAGGCGGAGGGAGGCGGCGGCGGUGUGGGUUAGGGUUGGGUGGGACGCGAUGGAGGAGGACGGGACGACGAGGCUUUAGGGUUUGGGUAAGCGAAUAUUUAUUUUCUGAGUGGCCUCUACCGGGCCUAUGGCCCACAUAUCAGCGUGUACUCCGUGGACUCGCAUGUCGGCGUCCGAUCCCGGCCCGUUAAACAAGUGGAAUAUUUCUCCACAUGAAAAAAAGAAUCUGAUAUCUCUUGACUCAAUAUUUUUUAUCAGAUCUCUGUUUUUUCUAAAGAAUCUAUCAGAUCUCUGUUUUCUUAUAUACAUAAAAAUGAAAUCAUAUCUCUCAACUUUUGGCUAUGUUUUUUUCAAAAACAAAAACAGAUUUUAGGUGAUUGGCAGUGCUUGGAUUUACUAUAAGUCCGGAAGAAACGUUCUCCAGUUAUCUUGUUAUAGUUCGGACCAUGUUUUGAAAUCAUGUCAUGAACACGUUUGGAAUUCGGAAAUUUCGAGCGAAACCGUUAUGUGGUACCAAGACACCAUAGACCAACACACCAAACAGGAUUACAGGACUCCUUCACAAAACCGCACUGUUCAAACAGAAAACCUUACAGUGCGUGAGGAAACAUCCCAGGUUUCAGACAGCAGGCAGCCGGUUCAGCACGGUACCGUCAGCACUGCAGGACGGAGAAACUAGCACAGUACCAGCAUAAAUUUCAGGCUCUCACGCUUUUAUUCUGUCCGAGUCCGACUCGGACGACACUCGGUGCGACAUCAUCAUAAUGUUCCCGAUCCCAUACCGAACUGUUACAGGCAUCAACAGCCAUGGAAUGGCAUAGCGCGGUGGAUAACAGCAUGUCUGCGACACUUCAGUUCAAAAUUCAGCAGGCGUUACACGACGUCCGGAAUACUUAUUACUAGAGCAACGAGACGGCAUGGGCGCAGCAAAUGGCAGAGUUCCGUUCAAAAAAGGCAUGGGAGCUACUCGGUGGAUUCCUUGUUCUCGGCGGCCUUGGCCUCCUCGGUGGACUCCUGGCUCAGGGUGGACUCCUGGUUCGGGGUCGUAGCCUCCGUAGGCGAGUUGGCACCCUCUGCAAUGGCAAAGAUGGCAAAGCGAUGCUUGUGACGAUGGCAAGAUAAAUGUACUGGAUUGCCUGCAUGGUAUCUUGUAAAUAUGAAGUACCGUCGCUGUCAGUAGAUGCAUGAAGGAACCGUCGUGAACGGGCUUGCUGCUGGGUAGGCUGCAGGAAGAUCGAGGAAGAUGUAAGCGACCAAAUAAAUUCAGUGUAGCAUGCAAGUUAAUUUCAUAAUUAUUACCGCAUUUGACAGCAAAAGGAUAUCAGCUCCGCAAGCAAAGGCUUGCUAACGAGAAUGAGGUGGCAAAACGUGUAAUUGACACUGAAUCCAGUUUAAAUACUGGGCCAGAAAACUGGAUAUGUGAUCUAUUGGAUUGCUAGAAAGAACCCCAAAUACGCAAAUGGGACAGCUAGCAGCUGGUGCCAAACGGAGAAAGUAUCAACAGUAGUGGUGUAGUACGUUUGAUAGCAAAAUCAGCUCCACAAGCAAAGAAUUACUAACAGAACUAGGGGGCAGGUACCUUGAACUGAGUUCAUUUUGAAUAGUAGGCCAAAAAAUGGAUAUGUAAUAUAUUGGGUUAAUAGAAAGACCAGCAAAUAUGCUAAUGAAAGAGCUAGCGGAUAAUGUGAAACGGAUACAGUAUCAACAGUGGUGUAAUACAAGGUAAGCACAUUCUUGCAAACAAUGAGUGCCAGUUUUAGCACCUGUAAUUUCGGCCGAAGUGCUUCAAGGGGCCCUUUAGGCUUUUGAGGAUGUCCUCCUUGCUGCAGGAAACCAAACGAUCAGGUGAGCAAGAUCGCGUAGGAGUUGCAUUGCUUCCUCAAAAUCCAUAUAGCUUUCGAAAAGAACGGUAGAAUACCUUUCCCAGAGCCCAAUCAGCAGAAUCAAAGUAAGCUCGCUCAUGGUCCUGAUAGACAUUUGAACACAGUUGAAACUAAUGGAUAUGGAGCUAAAAUUGAUCUUACUUCCCUGACUGCUUUAUACAUAGAUGACAUAAACUGUAUAUAUACAUCUAAUAGGUAGUAAUAUAUUUAAGGCAAUGAUACCUUGGAUAUGAGUGGUGACUUUUUGGGCAGUACUCCUCCAUACUUUUUCUUGAUUACUGCUUCCUGCAAAUACUCGGUAAAGUCGGAUUGUGCUUAUGGAAUAUAUUUUUGACACUUUUACAGUAGAAAGUAAAUUAGUAAAAUCGUACAGAUGGAAACAUGCAAGCACACAAGGUUAAUCAUUACACUUGUUAACAAAAGAUAAUACCUCUUGCUGUGCUGAUGGCAUCUCAUUUCCUUUAUCCUGGUUGGCAGUUUCCACUUUCACAUCAGAAACAUCUCCUUCAGGCCUCACCUGGCCAGUAGUAUCAUCAGAUGGCUUCUCCGACAUACUGUACGAACGGAUGCUCAAACAAGCUACAAGAAGAUGGAUUUCAUAUCAGAUAAUUUAUCUCAAUGCCAUCAAAAUUAGUAGGCAUAAAACACGCCAGGGCAUAGAAAAAUUGGAAAGAAAUCUGAAACAUAGUCUUGGAAAUAUAUUGACAUUUAAACCAUAGUGCAGCAGUACAAAGAACAUGUUUACAUAAAUAAGUACUGAGAAGUCAAUGCAAUAAGACACACAAAAUUUACUUUGGUAAAAAUGGAGAUAAAUAAAACUGUGUAACCCAUCCUGGGGUAUCUCUAUUUUGGAAAAGGGAACCAGACACCAACUAAUACUGGUCCAGUUCUUUAACAGGCCUUGCAGAAGUGUUUCUAAGUCAUAACAUCGAACCUAACACCGGCAUGCCAUCUUAAACAGGGUGACAAGCAAUAACUGCAAAAGUGGCAACGUUCUGAACAAGGCUAUUGUCCUUGACAGGACUGGAUGAAGGCAGUCAGCCUGAGCCCAACAAAUGCACAUAAGCAGGCUUGGGCAAAAAUUUCUGGAAUAAAAGGACCGUGGGGCUGUUGCUCUACAGUAAAUAGUCAAAAAAAUAGAGGUACGCGAAGCCAAUAAGGAAAGAAGCGCAGCAUCGACGAUUUAACCUCUCUAUGGCAAAUUAACACUUCAAGAGUGCUAAAUGAUAUAUCUGCAAAAGUGGCAACGUUCUGGACAAGGCCAUUGUCCUUGACAGGACUGGAUGAAGGCAGUCAACCUGCACUUGAUAAAUAUACACAAGUUUUUCCCAGGACUUCAGUACAAGCACUUGACGCGAGCAAGUAACAAAGUACAGCACCGGCGAUUUAACCUCGCUAUGCAUGGCAAAUCGACAACCGAGGGCGCUAGAUGAUACAAUGACAAGAUCUGCGAUCAUUUGUGUCCGAUGCAUGACCUGCCACACAACCCAGUGCAGAAAACAGCGACACCGCAUACACAAAAUGAGUUCCUUCUUUCCGGUCGCCAAGCUACGAGCUACUCUGUUGGACAAGGCCUUCUAGCACAUACGUGGUGAAUCAAACUCUGGGGCGUGACGCGCAACUGUACUGAAAUACCGCCGGUCAAGGAAAUUUAUGGUGCCCCGAAAUUCCGCCCGUUCCUGGCGAGCACGCGGCUAAAGCUACCGCCGCUCGUCUGAGGCCUACCGAGGCCGGAUCUAGACGGCGCGCCCGAGAUUCGUGGGCGGCGGCGAGGGCCUGGCUAAUCGCUGGAGCUCGUACCUCGGGAUCGGACGGGGUCGCGGCGAUGCGGGACGCGGCCGCGCGUGGGAGGCGGAGGAGGCGACGGAGACGCGUGGGAGGCGGAGGCGGGGAGGGGUAUGGGGAGCGAGGCCGGCGGCGGCGAGGCCGGGCUAGGGCACGGCGGUGGCUGGGCGGCGGUGGUAGGUCGCCAGGGGAGGGGGGAGGGCGACGAGGAGGAAUCGGCGAAGAAAUGCAAGGGACGGUGGAGGGGAGGCGAGCCGCGGUCUAUGAGUGGUAACUGAAUCUGAUUCCACCUUUUUUUAUUUUUUUUAUUUUUUUGCCACGAACGGAAUGGAAAAGAGGAAAAUGUACAAGGGAGCAUUCUGCAAAAAAAAACUUUUUUUCUCUUUUCCAAAUUCGGUCGCUUUUUGGGCCCGAUGAAGCGCAGAAUGACGGGGGCGAUUCAAAUGUCGUCACUGCACAUUUGAGGAACACGGGGGUAGAUUCUCUUUUUCCGGAAUUUGAAAUUUUCAAACUUCAAGAUGAUGAAAUUUAUCGAGCUCCAUCAUCUCUUUUGUUUUUGCACCUUUUCGUCGAACUACGGCUCAUAACAUAGAGCGUAAAAUACGCCGAUUUCAAGGAUUCAACGAUACGAUGAGGAACUGGAUUUUCAAGUAGUGUUCACCAUCAAUCAUCACCCACGGCCUAUGAUGGUUUACCAGAGUCGAAUAGCUCCCCGCAACAACAACAACAAAAUCGAAUAACUCAUCUUCUACUAACAAUAUCUUUAUUUAUAUUACUCUCUCCUUUUUUGGUUUGUAAAGGCAUAUGCAUUUUAAUUACUCUCUCCUUUUUGUUUUGCAAAGGCAUAUGCAUUUUUAACUCAGGUCAAACGCUUUAAAGUCUGACCAAAAUUAUAGGAAAAAUGAAAGCAUCAACAACACAGAAUCAAUAUCAUCAAAUACAUCAAGAAAUGCAUUCUCGUAGGAUAUACAUGUGGUAUAUUUAUAAAUGUUAAAUAUUUUUUCCAUAAACUUGGUCAAACCAUGAAACUUUUGAAAAUUUUGGCUUAGGAGAAAAUCGUAUGCCAAAUAGGGAGUACAUUCUUAUACCAAGGGGCUCCUCAAUUCCAAAGAUUUUUUUCCUGCUCUUUUUUGUCCCUCCUUUGAGUUUGAUUGUACCCCGAGUCGACAAAAAUUGUCGACUAAACAUAAGAGAUGCCUGUGAAAUUGUUAUGGACCAGAGAAAAUCCAAAAUUAAAGCCCCGUCCCUAUCUGCGUGCCUCCAUCGCGCGCGGACAAUCUGCUGAGAUCUGUUGAUACCAAAGUUCUGGUGCAGAGACAAACAAGAGGAUCAACAAAGGGGAUCAACAAAGGGGAUCAGGGAUAACUGAACACUAACGCACAAUCACUGUGCAAAGCAUACCGUACAUGAAGAUACAUAUAUCAAUAGAUUGCACUCUGGAGUAGUUCCUCCUCUUCCCCUCGACAGUCAGGCCUACAACAAGGGGUGAACUCUUUGCAACUCAGAACAGCAGGAUCACGUUGGUAACUGUGAUGCAGAUGACAGCCAGGGUCGCGACUAUCGAUCCCGGACGGAAGGCUCUGCGCAACCCUCUGUUCCUGGUGAAGUACUGAAAGGCGAGAUACACGGCUACCGCCAAAGAUAGUAUCCUGCCAGCUUGAGUUCCCCUGUGCACGGGAGGUAGGAAUCUGAGCGAAUGAGAAAAAAGUAAUACCCUAACAGAUACAGCAGUAGCAGUAUAGCCAAAAUAGGGAGAAUGUUUCAUACCUCAGACUCAUCACCUGGUAAGGAGCAAUGAUGAUAAGCCACAUUGUUGAGAGUGGAAGCUCCAGCUCACCUGCCAUAGACAUAAAGCAUGCGCCGUAAGUAACAUACCCCAGUUGUAUGUUUUAUCGAUUAUCCAAUCAAUGUUAGCCUGAUGUUUGAAUCCUCCUUGUCACUCUACCUGGAGUGGGUAAGAACAAGCGCACCAAAAUCGCUAGAAAAGCAGUCCACAGUCCAUAUUCUCUCCUAACAUUAGGAUUUGAUACCAUAGUAUAAGCAGGCCAAAAGAGAGUAUUCUUAUGUCAAACAAACGGGAAAUGAAUCAGAUAGCUCUUUGCACCAAAUAGCAGCGUCUUACUUGAUCCAUGGGAUUACACUGCUAGGUGCUUGCUGUGCAAACCAUGGCAUGAGCAAAGAUUUGUGUAUGCCAAUCUCUUUAGAAGCCAAUAGCACACUGCAAAAGGCAAAAGAGUAACAAAUAAACUGCUGCGCUGCGUUGAUACCAAGUUUUGAUGCCAAGAUGAGCAAGAGGAUCGACAAAGGGGGAGAGAAACUGGCCAUCAAGAAGAACUGAACACUAACACUGUAUCACACAAGACACAACUACUGCGCAAACCAUACCAUACAUGAAGAUACAUACUAUCAGUCAUGUCACAACUCACAGGUCAUUCUUAUUACGAUAAAACAAGCUACAAGGUCCGACAGGAUGAUGCACUACAAGGUUUCUCUUUAUUCAUCUGCGCUCUGGAGUAGCCCUUGGCAACUCAGAACAGCAGGAUCACAUUGAUAACUGCGAUACAGAUGAUGGCCAUGGUCGCAACUAUCGAUCCCUGAUCAAAGGCUUUUCCUAUUCCUCCGGUCCUGGUGAAGUGCUGAAAGGCGAGAUACGCAGCUAGUGCCAACGACACUAUCGCGCCACCUUGAGUUCCCCUGUAGAUAGGAAGUAGGACCGGAGAGAAUGAGGAAAAGUAACAACCAGGACAUAAACUGUAAAGCUAAGAACCUAACAUACGCAGCAGUAGGCUAGCAGUACAGCUAAUGUCUUUCAAAAUGGCGAGUGUUACAUACCUCACAUUCAUCACCUGGUAAGGAGCAACGCUGACAGCCAGCAUUGUUGACAGUGGAAGCUCUAGCUCACCUGCAAUAGACAGACGCACAUGCAUAAGUAACAUAUAUCUGUUCCAUGUCUCAUCAAAUAUCAUACUUGAUUUUAAGCAGGACGUAUGUAUCUUCCUUGUCACUCUACCUGGAAAGGGUAAGAACAAACGCACCACAAGCGCAAGAAAAGCAGUCCACAGCCCAUAUUCACUCCUAAAAUUAGGAAUAGACACCACAGGAUAAGUAGGCCAAAAGUAAGUGUUCUUGUCUCAAAAAGAAUAAACACCCAGUAGCUAUAGCAAGGAAAGGGGAAAAGGUAUCAUCAGAUAAUUCUUUGGGCCAAAUGGCAGAAUCUUACUUGAUCCAUGAGAUUACGGCGGUAGGUGCUUGCAGAACAAACAAUGGCACGAGGAAAGAUUUGUGUAUGCCUGUGCCUUUAGCAAGCAAUAGCACUCUGCAAGAGGCAAAAGAGUGAUAAAUAAAUGCUCAAAUAAUAAUCGUUGAGGGGGUGGAAGGUUACACUGUGUGCUUCUUCAGAAUAAUCCAAUCAUUUUAUGACAAAACCAAAUAUGUUGCAGAAUAAAAAAUCUACAAGGUGAAUAGUAGGAGCUGAGUUUUCGAAGAAUGCAUCACUUUCAGUUAUACAAGAUUGCCCGGUCCUCAAGAAAACAACUACAACUUGGGAGUCAUGGCCUGAACAGCCCCCCAGUAACUCAUCCAAGAUCUGAAGCAAGAUCACCACCUCGGCGUCAACAGUUACCGUCGCAACAUGAAUACACGCUAGUACUUACGAUACACCGGAAGCAUAAAGUAGAUAUACUACGGUUCUGUGGCAAGCUAAGCAAGUCACCAACUGGAGCGAAACCCCUGUAAGUUCUGUUCAACAGACUGAUGGUGUUGACGUGACUGGAAUUGAUACCUUGGGUCAAUUUCUGCGUUCGAGUAAUAUGACAUUCAAACUUUUAAUACGAAAACCAUGCAUUGUCCUGUGAUACAAAAGUGGCGCUAUUAAACACACGGUGUUAUGUUCAAGUGCAAGCAGACCGAAAAUCUGGCAUCAUCCGUCAUCACACCGUAUGGCGCUGCAAGUAAACUGUGUGUCUAGUUUAUUAAACACACCGUGUUAUGUUCAGGUGUAAACAGACUGAUAACCUGGCAUCGUUCGUCACUAUCUAUAUACUUCCUCCGUUUCUAAAUAUAAGUCUUUGUAGAGAUUCCACUAUAAAACACAUACGGAUGUAUAUAGAUGCACUUUAAGUGUAGAUUCAUUCAUUUUGUUCCGUAUGUAGUCCAUCUAGUGGAAUCUCUAUAAAGACUUAUAUUUAGGAACAGAGGGAGUAGUUCUUGUAAAGUGUGUUGAUGUUUGCUCCUGUCUCCAAGAGCUGUGAAAUCUCGCUGCCCUCGCAGGCAAAAGAGCGAGCAGAUUCGGAGCCCGGAAAGCAGUACUGCCGGAAAGGCUCAUGCGUUUCUGCACGGGCAAAUCGUGCCGGAGAAAGGUACUGGUUUAUGGUUGGGUAGCGACGACGAGGGGAGGGGGGCGAGGCACUCACGCGGCGGCCGCGACGGAGACCCACUGCGUCGUCGGCGGGCUGAGGUACGCCGACGCGUUGCAGACGAUGCCGCUCCCCCGGCUCCGGCAUGGCCGGACCAGCGACUGCGGCCUCAGCGGCAGAGCGGCGCAUCCCCUGCAAACAGGAAGACGAUAAGAUCACCAGACGGCGCGGUGGGUAAGCGAAUCGCACGGACGGAAGGAGAGCGGGCGCCGAGGGAACCCGGCAAGCAGGCUCACCUGAGCGCGCCCGUGGUCCGCACCGGCACGGCGGCCGCAGAGAGCGGAGAGCAGCCCGCAUUCCGCGCCGUCCGCGGCGGCGGCACGGGGCAGGGCGCUGCGAUGGGGAUCACGAGGCGCAGCGAGAUGGACAUGGUCGCGGUAUCUCUCGGCCGAGCGGGCGGGUUCGCCGGAGCUGGAAGCCUCACGGGCGGAUGAUGGUGCCCGUCUCUAGAAGAUUGUCGAACUGAACUGUAGCGGUACUGCUGGAGUGAUGAGGUAGGGGGGUGGGCGAGCGUGAGUACAUCAAUCAGAUCAGAUGAGCGUGAGGCCACGUGGCGGGGCCUCGAUGGGCGCGGGCCUCACGUUGGCGGGUGCCGACUUGCCGUGCGGCGACCGCGUCCACGGCCUCGGCCUCGGCUCCUGCGAUGCAUGCCUGCCGGUGAACGCACCGCACCGCCAGGGGAGAGGUGGUCGGCACGGACGGACGCAGACGGGCCGGGGGACGCGUCGACGGUACGUGCUAAUCUUCGUCCCACGGCACGUUGGGAAAAGACAAUGUGGCGAUGUUACGCGACGAAAUCGUCACUUGGAGCCAUGUAUGUACGUUACGAUCAGGACUAAUUAUCUCGCCACCUAACAAUAAAGGACCUGCACUGCACGCAGAAACAAAAAUGGACUACUUGUCUCAUGGAGCCAGUCACACCAUACAAGUACCCAUGGAGCCCGACUUUUGUAUUAUUUCGUGAUUUGAAUACAAACAUACUUAAAAAAAAAUGAACCCAUGGAGCCCCAAGUUUCAAACAAUUCAAAAAUCACAUUUGUGAAGUUUUAAAAAUAGACGUGCACAUCGGAUGUUGUCUACAAAUGUGUACAUUUACAUGAUAAUAAACUUUUUUUUGCGGGAGUUAUUUUAUUUUAAUACAUGAUAAUAAACGUUGUUAUGGCAUCUCUAACCGGUCAAUCCCUCAAAACAGGUUAAAGGAGUAAAAAUUUCGUUUUGAGGAGUUAAACCGGACAUAGCCGAACCCUUAUCCGGUUUUACCCCUAAAAGAUUAUACUCCUCACGUAGGCCGUCGAGUAUAUCUACUCGAUCGUGCCUCAACCUCGGGAUAAAUUUCCCCCUUCCCUGGACCACCUCUCUCCCUCGCUCACACCGCAUUGACGCUGGUCGCCGCCCAAAUCCACCCUGCACCUUCGUCGGCGCCACCGCCAACACCACAAUCUAAUGAUCGACAAGCAUCGCCCUCGAAGUGGCAGGAUCCACCUGCCAAAGCUCUACGCCGUCAAUUUGAGGUUUGAUCCGCGUCGCGGUGCGCAGCAGACCCGAGCACGCGGUGACGCUUCCCCCCUCCCGCUCCUCCACCAACCUACCGUCGUCGCCGUCGCCGAAAAGGAAGUACUACGGUGUAAGGCACCGGCCAUGGGGCGUGGGUGUCAGAAAUCAAGGACCGAGACACCAGUCAGCUGAGCUAGCGGCGAGGUACGACGUGAAGGCAGUGAGCCUUUAUGACAGGCAUGCGAAGUUCAACUUCCCCCUCGGCAGUCGCAAUGUCCUGAUGUUCAUCGCCAUUGACCCCCCAGCGGUCUCCCGCCGCGAGGUGCGGGGAAAUCGGAGGCCUUUGAGGGUCUCGAGAUGACACGCGUCUAUGAGGACUACAUUGUGGAGCUCUACCGGAAUCAUCCGGAGCUCGUCGUCGAGGAGCAGCGACGACUCGGGCUAUGCAAGGGGCUAUCAACGAGGCCGGACCAUCCGAUGGGGAUUUCAUCGACCUUUCCUCCAGCGACUCUGGCUUUGGUCUGACGACGGUGACUCAGACGGCUGCAUCAGUUGGAAGAAGCUCGAGAACGAAAGCGGUUAGUUAUUUUUUGUUUUUAUUUUGUUUGAAUCAUUUUAGUUGGAAGACACGCACGCAGACCGCCAGGCUCGGCUCGGAGGAGACGCAACCCGCGCGUCACGGCGCCAUGUGCGUGGACGCAAGGCCGAGACCUCCUCAGCGCCGUGGGUUAAUCGGCCGGCGAGACUAACCAAAAUAUUGUAUAUGGUACUGUAUUUUUCUGCGAGUGUAUUUCUAUGCUUUUACACGCACAGACUUACUUAAUGAACAAAAUAUUAGAGCAUACACAUAUAUGCGCAGCAUCCAUUAAACAUCCCUAAAAUAUGGGUGAACUGGUUGCUUUUUUUACUACAUCCAGGAUAGUUACACAAUGGACUAAGGGCAAACUGGUCUUUUCACUUCACUCUUAAACCAUUGAGAAAAUUCCUUAUUUGAAACUAUCUUAAAAUCUGCUUCACAUUGGAAAAGUUUUUCUUCCCUAUUUGACACAAGUUCUAAAUUUUAUUCCCUAUAUGACACAUUCGUCCAUUUUAAACCUAAAUGACACCUGAAAAGACUCUUUUGCCCCUCAUGUGGUAUGUGUGGGGGCAAUAGCGCACACACGCAACAUCAUGCGAGGACAGGAGCACACACGCAGCAACACAUACACAUGCACCAACACACACGCAACAACAUGCACGCGCGCGUGCACACACACACAACAACACAUGCAGCAGCAGCAGCACACACGCAGGCAGCACAUAGGCACGCAACAGCGCACACACACGCGCGCGUACACACACACACGCAGCAGCAACACACAUGUGCGCGUGCAUCCACACACGCAGCAGCACACGCGCGCGCGCACACAUACCGCAUGAGGGGCAAAAUCGUCUUUUCAGGUGUCAUUUAGGCUCAAAAUGAACGGAAGUGUCGUAUAGGGAAUAAAAUUUAAGACUAGUGUCAAAUAGGAAAGAAAAACUUUUCCAGUGUCAAGGAACCAAAUUUUAAGACAGUGUCAAAUAAGGAAUUUUCUCUAAACCAUUUAGUGUCUAAAAUGGAAAGUGUCAAAUAACGAAGGAAUUUUUUUAAUUUUGGACCAAAUAGAGAAUCAAAUUUUAAGAAAUGGCCAAAUAAGGAACAGUUUGUCUAAUUCACAUCUAGAUGUUUUAUAAGGAUAUCACAUCUAAGAUCCCACAAAUAAGGCAGUAAUAAGAAAAAAAAGCUGAAAAAAAAAUAGACCACAAACAUAGUGGACAUCAGGUUAGAUGUGUCCUAGACAGACCCAAUAAGGAAUUCUCUCCCUAAAUUUAAGAGUUAGGCUAGGAACCAGAUUUUUUUGAAACUUUAAAAAUUGAGUUUUGAUUUCUUUUUCAAAUUUCCGUUAGCAAUGAGCACUAUGGAUCAGGAGCAAUGUGGAUUAGGAAUCUCUGCUUCAUCCAUCCCCUCUGCUCACAAAGGCCAAAGCGAGCUUUCUAGGUGGAUCGGACUUUGUUCGUCCCUCCGGCGGCUGGCAAAAGAUGCUUCAGUUCAGUGGCUUUGAUGAGCCGAAAUACAUAUUCAUUUGCGCAGAAAGUUAAAAGAAUUAAUCGGAAAGUGGAUGAUGACGACCAACUCCAGUAGCAUGCCCAGCGACUAAGCCACUACUACUGAAGUCAGUCGCUAACCAACUCGUUGCAACAGAUCGAUCCUCACACGGUGACAAAGACAUCUCAUCAGAUCGGAUCAGAUCAGAUAAAUGAACAGGCAUAGCGCAGCACCUCAACACGCUUCUUCUUCAACCGAUGGCAGUACAGAGAGAUCCGGCAAGCACGGAUUACAAGCGGAUUACAUGGAGGGGAUCGAUCGACCGAGCAAGAGAAGAGUACGCAGACAGGCAGGAGCUAGGCUACUGGUAGUACAUGGUGUAUCGAUCUAUCUAGCCGGCGUAGAUGUGGAUGUGGAGGGCGAGGGUGAGGAUGGUGAAGGCGGCGAAGAAGAGCAGGGUGUGGACGAAGAUGGCCUUGCCGUUGGUGUGGAGGCCGCCGAAGUCGACGUGGCGGUGCGACCCCGGCAUCUCGAACAGCAGCCCCGGCGACAGCAGCACGAAGAGCACCACCCCCACCACCACCGGCGCCCAGUCCGCCAUCCUCCGCCGCCUGCUCUCCCUCGCUUCUUCUUCUUCUUCUUCUUCUUUGGUCGAUCUGAUCUGAUCUCACGGCUAUGAACACACAGAAGUACUCGGGAAGACUCGGGGGAGAGAGGGCGAGUGGAGUGGGGGAGUGGAUUCUGGAGUAUAUAGAAAGGAGGCCGCGAGCGGCGGAGCAGGGGAAAGUAGGAGGCAACAAAGGAGCAGCCGUCACGGUCACGCGGACGGUUGGCGCGAUUCGAUGCCUUGCAUCGGGUGGGAUGCAAGGCGCGCCGCCCAGCCGACACCCGUGCGUGCCCAGUGUACCUGCGCGUGUCGUCCAGAUGGUGGGGGGUGGCAAAGGGGGAGGUCAGGUGUACGUACCGUGUGAAAGGGGAACAUACCGUGUGCGGCGUGCCACGGAGUACUACAGAGCAAUGACAGCCAUUGGAUUCGUAUCACACCAACAUGCUCAGUGUGCAAGCAUCCACUUAGCUAAUGUCAUAGUACAAGCCACACUAGAAAAGUGAUAUAUUACAAAAGGGAGACCCGUUUCCAUGGCCGUGAUUGCUGCUGCGGUCAUGGAGCCUAUGUUUUUUUCGUUUCAUCUAUUUCCCCUCACCUAUUUACUCCCUCUGUUCGGAAAUACUUGUCGCCAAAAUGGAUGUAUCUAGAACUAAAAUACAUCUAGAUACAUUCAUUUCUUCGACAAGUGUUCACAUUUCCGAACGGAAGGAGUAUGUGCCAUUAGUAAUUUGUCCCAUGGAUCAACGGAAAAUUGACUAGUGGAGCAUCUUUUAUGGGCUUAUACAAUCGCGUCCCUUCAAUUCUGCUCGCACGGUUGCCAAUACCCCGUAGCACGGUAGCAUGGGAAGGCCCGUGUCACCUGAUAUGCUGUCUGUGGAGGGGUACAAGGAAGUGCCCCGUUUUUCACAGGACUUAGCGGCACAGUCGGCCGGCCAUGCAUUUUUUACGAGUGUGGGGGCGGCUCAGGGUUAAACGAGGAGAGAGAUGAUUCACACUUCUCAUUAGGGUGAAAAAUGAAAUGGACGCCCGCACGCCGGCCACGAACCGUCUUGGCGGGACAACUCAACAUGGAAAUGGGCCCUGACACCCGCAUUUCUGUUGGUUUUUUUCUUAUUAGGGGACGGGAUAGGCAUCUUUCUAAACCCGCAGGGCUGUUGAUGGGUACAUUAUAAAACCUAGCAUGUUUCAUGGGUUUAAACCCGUUUUAGUGGUACUCGAUCCCGAAACCCGUCAACAUAAAUCCAUCUACUCAUCCAGCCUCGAGGCCCAUCUAAAUACACGAAUACGAGUACACAACCGGCCAGGCGCCCCAGCCCCUCGAGUGCACGAGCACCCCUCGCUCGUUCGCUUGAGCCGUCUCGCACAGGGCACAAUCGCACACCACACAACACACGGGACACACACAAUCCUAAACCUAAAUCUAGUCCUUCCGCCACCGCGUGAGCUCGAUCCCAUCUCGCAGCGCUGCGCGACCACCUUCUGUGCCAUCGAGCCGCCUCCCUCCAGAAACCCUCCACGCGUCCUGCAAUAAGAAGAAAGGGUGCCACCACCAGUGACGAACUCAGUGGUGGCGUCUACCGUGGCCCAAGGAAGAGUAGGCCGAGGGCUUUCCAAUCCGAUCCCCAAGCCUCCAUCCAACUUCAACGUCCGCAAGAAGUUAAAGACGAGGUGAGCAGCCCGGUCUUGCACGAUAUGCUCGUGGGGACGGGUUCCCUGUGGGCUUAGGGGACAGGCAAAAAACUAGCCCCGUGCACGGUGACGGAGACGAGGACGGGUUUGCGAUUUUCUUGUGAGGUGGGUUUGGGCAAGCAAAACCUGGUGGGUUUCGUCCCCUUUGUCAUCUUGAGGGACAACACAAGCAAGUUAAGAGCAUCUACAACCAGACCUCUCAAACCACCCCUCAUAUGCCCGCGGACGCGCCCGGUCAGUGACCGGACAGGAGAGAGAAGAAAAAACGUAAUCCAAUCGGACCCCCCAUAUCAUCCCUAUACGCCCGGGGGCUGUCCGCGAACCCUUAUAUCCAUCUCAAAUAUGGGGAGGAUAUGAGGGCUUGCGGACACGUCUGGGCAGUCCGCCACGUAGGACGCAGCCCCACCCGGACCACCUUUUUCUCUUUUCUUUAUUCGUUCUUUUAUUUCUCUCUCUUUGUCUCCAUCAAUCACGUGCAAGUGACCGGACAUAUGAGGAGAAAAAUAAGUAGUGUGGCUGCGCAGAUGGAUAAAUAAGGGCUCAAAACGGACACGUCUGGUCGCUGACCAAGCGCGUCCGCAAGCAUUUAAGGGGUCAUAUUGCUAUGUAGGGGUCAUAUUGCUAUGUCCGGUUGUAAAUGCUCUAAGCCCGAGAGGGGGUAGGUGGCUGCCCAUGGGGGCUGGAGUGGCGGCAGUGGGCGUAGUGACCAGUUCGAUCGAAAAACUAGCACAGUCGGUCUCAGCACAGGAUUCAGGAAUCCAGCCCUGUUACUAGGAAGACAGCACAGAUCCGACGAGCUUUUCAACUUCUUCUGUUUGUGCCUCCAUCUUUUCUUCUUGUCCACGCUCUCAUCCAAAAAGGUUUGCAGUUUGCACAUCAAACACACACAUAAACCAUUCACUUAGAAACGCAAACCAACAGCUUCAUGAGGUCCAAGCAAGCAACCACGGCAACAUUAAUGCAGACAGAAAGACAGAGGCUACUGGCAGUUAAGUAAGAUGCAUGUAGCACCACAAAUCUCUUUAUGACUUCUUACACCGACAAGAUUUGGGGGGAAAAAGCAAGUUACAGCACCUACAAGAUGCACUAGAGGAUGGAUGGAUGGUAAACAACUCCACCACUCCUCUAGGGAGGGUGGUUCCAGGGAGCCAAGUACACAUUGCAUACAAGAGCAAAGGCCUAACAGGGUAGUUUCAGCUCACAUCGUCUAC